UGUCUUUUUUUGUAGUGGUUGGAUUGAGUAUUAUGAAUCUGAAAUUGCUUUGGUGCUAUUUUAGUACAUACUCUUUAUAGAUCCAUCGGAAAGAAUAACUUGGUGUUAUUUUAGUACGAAAUCUUGGAUAGAUCGAUCGGAAAGAAUAGCUACAAACAAUUUCUUCUUAUGUUCUCCGCUAGAUAAGAACUUUGGAGUGAUUCAUCAUCGCACAUUGAGGGAUGGUUAUGUGAUCCAAUUAUAUUAGCAUUGUUGAGAGAUUGCACUAGCGAAAGUACGGACCCUAGGCCUCAUUUUUAAGCAUUGCAAUACCGUUUGUGCUCACUUUUGUUACUUGCUACCUUGCUGUUUUUUAUUGUUCCUAUUACAAAAACCAAUAUCUACCAUGAUUACUACACUUUUAUUACCAUCUCUUCGCUGAACUAGUGCACGUAUACAAUUUACCAUUGUAUUUGGUGUGUCGGGGACACAGGAGACUUUUUAUUAUUUGGUUGCAGGGUUGUUUGAGAGAAACUAUCUUCAUCCUACGCCUCCCACUGGUUGAUAAACCUUAGGUCAUCCACUUGAGGGAAAAUUGCUACUGUCCUACAAAACUCUGCGCUUGGAGGCCCAACACGUGUCUACAAGAAUAAAGUUGCGUAGUAGACAUCAAGCUCUAUUCUGGCGCCAUUGCCGGGGAUGUGAGUGCUUGAAGGUAUAUCUUUAGAUUUUGCAAUCGAAUCUUUUAGUUUCUUGUUUUAUCACUAGUUUGGUUUAUAAGAAAAAUACUACAAAAAAUGGAAUUGAGGUGGCCUCAUAUUAUUCAUAUUCAUCAUGUCUUUCUUGAAAAUGAUGGAAAGGAAAACUGUGCUCAAUUGAUAGAAUAAGAAAUCAAUAAAAUGUUUGGCAGAAAUGAUGAGCAUGAUUGCAAUGUUAUUAGUAUGAAUUCUUUGAAUAUCCAUGAUGCUAAUGAUAUGCAAAGCUACAAGCUUGGGGAUGAUAUGUUUGAUGAAGAUGAUAUUUUUAGCCCCCAAGUUUUGAUGAGAAAAUUUAUUAUGAUGAUCGCAUGCCUCCUAUUUAUGAUGAUUAUAUUGAUGAAAGUGGAUUUGCAGAGGUCGUGACUUUAUUUAAUAAUUAAUCCACUAUUUUGGAAGAGGUUGCAAUUGAUUAUGACAACAAAGCUGCUAUCUAUGAUGAUUAUUGUGAUGACAUGUGUGUUAUAAAAAAAACAAUGAUAUCCAUGAGACUUGUCAUGAUGAUUUUAAUUUUCAAUCUGAUGAUAGUUAUUUUGUUGAAUUUGCUCCCACUACUAUUCAUGAGAAUAAAUUUGCUUAUGUGGAGAGUAAUAAAAUUUCUAUGCUUGCGAAUCAUGAAAAUAAUGCUUUAUGUGAUAGUUAUAUUGUUGAAUUCAUUCAUGAUUCUACUGAAAAUUAUUAUGAGAGAGGAACAUAUGCUUGUAGGCUUCUCACUAAUAUCAAGUUUCCUCUCUUUAUGUUGAAAGUUUUGAAGUUGCACUUGUUUUGCCUUCCUAUGCUAGUUCAUGCUUAUUCCCAUAAAUUGUUCGCUCACAAAAUCCCUAUCCAUAGGAAGUGGGUUAGACUUAAAUGUGUGUCGGGGAUAUCUAGCGACAUAUGCCAGGGGUGGCUUAUCAUGGAUGGGGACAAGAGUACGUCGCCGGGCUCCACGAGCGGGAGUGAGCGAGACCGCAUAUGCCUAGUCCUGCUCUGUGGGGUCUCCGCAUGAUGACUAUCGUCAAUAGAGUAGCUACAAGAUCGCUCCUUGAGUUGUUUCAGCUAGAGGAGGAAGAAGGGCAAGGCUAGCUCUAUCUUCUCCUUCUAUGGCUGUGUGUAUGAUGGCAAAGGUACUAAACCCCCUGCAUGGGGAAGCCUGGGGGGUUUAUAUAAGCCUACCUCCCAGGGAUAUAAUGGUAAUCUGGCCGGGUGUAGGACCCGGGCGUCAGUGUCUCCGAGCGUCGGCAUCUCCGCUGGCUGCUGGGGCCCGCCGCUUGGUGGGUCCCGCCGGCUGCUGUGAACUCGGCCGACAGGUAGGGCCCGCUGCCUGGGGACCAGGUUGACUGCUUUAUAAUGUAGCCUCGCCUCUGAUGACGGCGGCUUUGUCGGGGGGCGCAUGGCUACAGUCCCGCCACCUGGCGGGUGCUCACUAUAGCCACACCCCAUCUCAUCAGGUUAAUGGCGCGCAGACUCCAAGGGAAGGGAGGGCCGCCUAUUAGGAGUCGGCCCGCCCUCGACGCCAUCUGCUGGGGAUCCGCCGCCUUCUGGUGGCUUGCGGACAGGUAGGGCCCGCCGCCUGUGGGCCGAACCGACCACCCGUCGUGGGAGCGUGGCUCCUUCUGACGUAGGUGAUGUCAUGGGUCGCGUGGCAACAGUGUCGUGCCGGGUGAGGGGUGUCCGCUUGGUACACAAGCACUGUGGCCACGUUCCACCCUGGAUUUGGGGGUGGCAGGUCGCACUGUAGCCACGCCCCGUCUCGCCAUGGUUAAGUGGGUGCAAACUUUGAGGGGACGAGGGGCCGUCUGAUAGGAGUCGGCUCCCUCGUGGCCGUCUUCUGAUGUCUCACCAUCUCCCAGCAGCCGGCCUCUUAGACCAGCGGGCCCAAGAAGUUAGCCAUACGUCCGGGAGGUGUGAGAGGCGUAGCUAGCCCCGAUGUCUUGAAAUGCCAUGGGGUGCCAAUGAGGCUACUCGUGGUCAAUUACUCCGACAGUAGUCCCAGAAGCUGGUGGGGCGCCGCGGCUGAAUUCGAGGAGCCGCAACAGCUUCCUACUCCGAGUGGUCUGGUAAUCUUGCUUCGUCUGUGGUCUGAAGAUGCCGACUGUUAGGAGCCGGCCAAGGAGCGGUCGGCCGACUGGUGAAUUCGAAACGUCAGGGUAGAGGCUGCAUGGAGAGCCAGCCGGGUGACAGGCUUGCCGCCCGUUGGUCGUUCGCCUCGCGGCGUCAGCAUACCAGGCCGGCCUGCCAGCCCACGCGCGUGACAGGACGUCGCCACAGGCCCGGGCCUGCCACUACAGGGCCUUGGCGAGCGCGCGGAUCCACUGUGGCCGAGGCAAACGGUUCCCCUUUAGAGGCUCAGUAACUGCGCGCCGUAAAGGCGCGGAAUAUGCGGGGUCAUGCGGGGCGUGGGUGCAGUUAAUCCCAUGCCCCCACGUUUUACCUCUUCGGCUCCGCCGUCGCUGGCCUAUAUGUCGAGGGAGGAGGGUGCGGCAGAAUGCACGCGCGCCCUCCUCAUCUUCCAUCUUCCUUUUCCUCUGCGCUCUACUGCUCCACGCCGCCCCGCUGCUCGUCGCCGAAACGCUGUCGCAGCCCAUCAAUGUUCGUCCUCGCUGCGCCGCCGCGCCCUCGUCCUCGUGCGACUUCGCUGCCCCACCAUAGGGCUACCACGGCCAUGGCGCGUGGCGGGCACUCCGGGGACUGGGAUGGCUCCAACGUCCAAGACGAGGACAUCGAUUUUCUUCGCGUGACGCGGAGGAUUCCCGACGAGGAGUGCGUGGGAGUGCGGAUUCCUCUGGCGCGGGGGAUCUUGUCGGCGCCUGAGCCCGGCGAGUUUGUGGUCUUCCACAGCCACUUUCUCCGCAGCUUCGGCUUGCCGGCGAGCGGUUUCUUCCGCGCCUUCCUCAACUUCUACGGCUUGCAGCCGCAUCAUCUCACACCCAACACCGUGGUGCUCCUCCCCGCCUUCGUCACCAUGUGCGAGGGCUACCUUGGAGUUUUUCCCACACUCAAGCUGUGGGGGCGAUUCUUCUACCUCAAGCUUGGCACCGCGGCCAAGGGCGAGGCGGCUUAGUGCAGCGCACCGGCGGCAGGACCCGUUUUCCAGCUGUGGUGGUGCUGGAGUCGUCCAACUUGUGGAAGAAAUCAUAUUUCUACGUCCGCAACUUGGAUUCGACUCGGAACUACAUCAACCUGCCGGGUUUCAAGGCCCGCCCGCUGAGCCACGGGGCAACUGGGGCCAGCAGCCACCAAAGCCGUUGCCGGCCGGUGUCACCAUCAUCCUCAACCACCUGCAGGUGAUGCGGAGGUGGAAGGCCUGAAGCCGGCGGAUCUGCUGGCCGCCUUCAACCAGCACCGGGUGCUGCCACUCCAAUUUUGGCCCCACCUGAUCUGUGAGGGCGGCCGCCGGGAUCCGAGCCGGAUGUUGACCAAGGAGAUGCCCGCAGAUGAGGUCGUUCACCACGUCAACUACAUCUCCGGCAACCAGCUCUAAGUGGAUGACCGGAGCUUUGGCAAGGAGCCCUACAGCUGGGCCAAUCCGCCACCUGGGGUUAGUACUCGGCCUUCUUCUUUGUUCUCUUUGUUUUUGUGAUGACCUUUAUCAAGUCUAAUCAUCCGGGUGCUACGCAGCGCGCCGUCAGUCCUGAUCACCGGUGGAUGCCGGACCGGGAGCUCAGCGACAUAGGCGACCCUGAGCUAGGGGCGGCCGCGCUGGAGGAGGACGAUGCCACCAGGGGAGGCGGCGGCGGUGCGGGCGGAGCCGCAGGAGGCGGCGUGGUAGGGGAUGUCUGGGGGUGGUCGGACGACGACGAAGGCGGCGACGAGCCACACCAUGCUGCGGGCACCGACAGGACCGCGGCCGGCUCCUCGACAGCGGGGCCGACAUCUGGAGCAGCCGGCUCCUCGAAGCGUCGAGCUGACGUAGGGAUGCCCGGCACCAGGCCGAGCAAGAAGGCCAAGAAGUCCGCCGCCACAACCAAGCGGAAAGAGGACCUGAAGGCAGCCACCUUCCAGAAGAUCCCGAAGCCGCGCCUGACGGUGUCCGCAUAAGUGUCUUGGUCUUUUUUGCAUUUUGUUUUUCAUUUUUCGCAAACUUCUUCUUAGCUUCUUUCUGCCGUGUUCGCGUAGGGCCCCGCUUUCUCUGUCGCGAGCCCCAUCCGGCUCGGUGAUUGGGGUGGCAGACGGCUCCGCAGACACUUGUUGCAUGGACCUGGUUGCCGCCCUUCGGGAGGCAUCGGAGAGGAAUGCGCGGGAGGCGCAAGAGGAAUGGGAGGCCGCGGCCCGGGCGAAGGCGGAGGCGGCCGAGGCGGCGCAAAAGGAGGCCAGCGUGGCGGCCAAGGAGCAGGCGGACGCGGCCGCCAAGGCGCGGGAGGAGGAGACGGCGUCCCGCAGCAGGGCUCCAGAGUCCACGAGUCCGCAACCUGUGGAGCCGAUGGUGUUGGAGGGCCAGGUGCUGACUGGUGGGGCUGGGGCCGACCAGCCGACCCUGGAGAUGGGAGAGGUUGACCCUGUCGUCUCGGAGGCGAAGGUCCCUCCACGCGUGCCAGCUGCCGGCGCGCAGGGUAGCCGGCCCGAGGCGCCGCUGGUGCCGCCAUCUGGCAGCAAGUUGGUGGUGGGCCCGAUUCCCACGAUCCGCUCUCCUACGCGCCAGCGCCCGGUGAGGGCGGCCUCGGUGCCAAGGCCGAUGGAGAUCGGGGCCGCGAGCUUGUCGGCGCCCGACUCCGAUGCCACCAGCACCGCCCCGCCAGACUGGACGUCUGGGGCUGGCUCGGGUGUCCUGAACGUGGCUAUGCAGGACGUCCUGACCCACUUCAACACCCAUGACGCCAUGCUCCAACAAUCCAUGUAGGUGUUUUUGGCAAUGCGGACGGCCGUCCGGGUACGCUAUUUGCUUCUUCUUUUUCAAUUCUUGUGAUCUUCCAUGGGGCGCACCAGUGCACCCACUGUGUGUAACCCCCGAGUUCCGGGCCGGCUGCUGAGCAGGUGGCUCGGAACUUCAAGGUAUGCUCCGAGUGCUGAGAUCUUUUUUCUUCUGUUGUCUUUGUUGCAGGACUACCGCAACAUCCGUGCGGCCACCUACAACUCUCAGAACCAGGAAUUGGCCAAGGGGACCACUGAUCUGAACCAGAGCCGAAGUAAGCACUUCGUCUUCUUUUCCGCGGGGGCACGUCAGCGCACCCGCUGGGUGUAGCCCCCGAGAUUCAGGUCGACUGCUGAGCAGUCGGGCCGGAUCUUCCGGCAACUACUCUUUUUUGGUUAGUGUUGACAUUUCUCUUUUUUCUUGUCUUGGCAGAGGCCGCCACUGAUCUGCGGAAGCGCCUGGGUGAGGUUGAGUCCGAGCUCCACACCAAGGAGCAGGAGCGCAGCCAGGCCACCCAGGAACGCGACCGACUGGCGAAGAAGCUGGAGGACCAGGCAGCGAAGCACCAGGCAGAGGUCCAGAAGCUGAAGGAGAGCGAAACCCUCCUCAAGGCUGAGUACGAGACUCAGCGCUCGAACUGGGCUGAGAGGGAGAAGUUCAUGUCCGACAGCUACGGUGAGGUCGAGGACAUGAUCGAUGGUAAGUUGAUUCUUCUUUUAUACAUCUACCGGCUGCUGCAGGAGCCGGCCUCAAGCUUCUAAGCUCUUGCUUUUUCUUCUUGUGCAGAGUUCUUUCUCGGUCAUUCCGUUGCCGUCAGCCAGGCCAUCGAGGCGCGGCGCGACCAGCGGAGGAGGGCGGGCAUUGAUAUUCCGCCGAAUGCGCCUCGCAAUCUUGGCGAGCGGCUCCUGGCCGUCAAGACGCGCCUGCAGCCGGCUCAUCGCGCACUCCGCUGCCUGCAGCGUGUCGGGGCACAGGUGUUGGCCGCCCUCUGGCCGGACGCUCAAGUCCCCCGCACCCUCAGCCAGACUGCCGACUGGCUGGAGGCAGCAGUCGGGAACUUCGAGGCUUGGAAGGGUGCCACGGCUCGGGCGGGCGCUCGGCCGGCCUUGGAAUUCGUCAAGGCCUGGUAUCCGGGGCUCGAUCUGGCGCAGCUGGCCACCUUUCGGCAUGAGGCUGGACCGGAGCUGGAGGCGGUGAGCCACGCGCUCACCCAUCGCGCGGCGGCAAUCGCCGAGUACGCCAACACCUCCAUCUUCAUCCCAGAGCUGGAUGAGGAGGGCGCAGAGGUGCCGCCCAACUAGUUCGGGCUGGACCCGGAGGUGGGGGAGGAUUCGGCGGAGGAGAUUGCCUCCAGCGGCGAGGGCGAGGAAGAUGAGGAUGAGGACAUCGAAGACAUCGCACCGGACGACAAAGCGAGCAUCCGGCCUCAACCUGAUCAGGCCUCGACCAGUGAGCCGUGGGAUGUCGCGCCGACUGCUGCUGGUGCCGACCAGGCCGAGACCCACCAGUCGGCCACUCCACCACCCGGCGCCUCUGCCUUCACCGACCCGUCUGAUUCGCCUGCCGCUCCUCUGGCCUAGGCGGCCAUUUUAUCUUUCCUGUUUUUUUGUCUUGUUACUUUUGAACAAGUUAGAUUCGCACAGCUCCACCUGCUGGGGUGUAAUUUCAAAACUCCAUUGAAUGCCGGCCUUGAGCCUUUUGCUAUGUAUAUAAAUUAUUCUCGCACAAGUUUGUGCUCUUGCCGGGUUCUAGCUCGGUUUUGCUUUUCUGUUCUUUUUGGCUUUUUCCUUUACCGCCUUCCUUUGGCUGCCAGCCGGACAGCCGCUCUGCGGUCUGUGGCUGGGUCAGGGACUUGGCCGUUUAGGAUAGACAAGUACUUCGGCCGCCUAGAAUGUAGCUUAGUCAAGCGAGAAGCCGGCUGCUCUGCAGCCGGACGGUGAGGCGAGGAGCCGGCUUCGGCCGCCUAGAAACUGACUGAGAAGUUCACCUCCAAUGUUGCAGCCCCAUCGCAACAAGAAAUUCCUCAGACUGAAGCAUCUGCUCAGCCAACUGAAGAACAUGCCAGCACUGAUGAUGACAUUCAGGCUGCUGAAGAAAAUGUGAGUUCCAGGUCUGAUGACCGCAUUCCAGCCGCUGAUGAAAUUGCCAGGGCAUCCACUAGUGGUGCGCCUGAAGAAUAUGAAGAGGUCAGGGCAACUGCAUCAGUUGUGCCUGAAGAAAAUCAACCACAUUCCUCUGCUCCUCCUGCGCCUACUCCAACUCCAAUCCUUCCAUCUGCAUCAGAUGUGAAGAAGACCAAGGCUGCAGAGCGUGCAGCAAUGAAGAAAAGGAAAGCAUAAGCUUCUUCAGAUUCUUCAGCUCCGAAGAAGAUGAAGAAAUUGGCCAGCUCAGUUGCAAACCCCAUUGAUGUUGUUCCGAUCUCAACCAUGCCAUCAAAGGACCUUGUUCCUUUUGAUGAAGAAUAUGUGAUCCCUAGCGGAUCUGAUGAAGAAAAUCCUUCUGCUGCUUUGUCAGAGCAGAUGGAUGAAGAAAUUGAAGUGGAUGAAAUCCCUUCAACUCCAGCUGUUUCCUCGCCUAUGCCUCAGUUUACUGCUGAAGAGGUCGGCGUUGAAGAAAUGGAAGAUGAAGAUGUGGACAUUGGCUGUACCACACCAGUGAUAAAUGAUGACUUUUGGGAAAGUCAGCACCCCAACUCUCCACUCCACACCUUUACAGCAAAUUCCUCAGUCCCCUGUUGCUACUGAAGUACAAAUGGGAUCUGAAGAACCUCGUGCAACCCCAUCUGUCCAUGAAGAAAUUCCAGCCACUAGUGCUGAAGAAAAUGUACAUGAAGAAUUGAAGACAAAGGCUGCCACUAAAGAGGAACCAGAAAUUCCUCAGCCUGAAGAACCUGAGAUUGUGAUUCCUGAGGUUGUAAUGCAACUGACUGACACUCCUCUGCCCAAACCAAAGGAUCCAUUCUCAAGGAAGCAAAAGUUCAAGGCUAAUGAUUUCUUCGGCGAGCACGUAUUCUUCACUGAUUACAACCCCUAUGACUCUGCUCGCAUUAGGAAGAGGCGUUUCUGGACUGCCAGCCAGGCAAAUUUUUAUUCCUCAGUGCUGUUCAACAAAGACAAAGUCUUUGAUCAUGAGCACAUUCCUCACGUGGAUAUGGAAUCUCUGCCGUGCUUCGUGCCAGUCCUCAGUGUUCUUCACGAUGCUGGGCUGUUAAAUUUCUGCACUGAUAUAUGUGAUUGGAAUGAAGAGCUUAUUCUUCAAUUUUAUGCAACUCUGCACAUCACCGGAGACUCUGAAGAUGUGAAUUCAUGGGUGUUGGACUGGAUGUCUGAAAAUACUCACUACAAGGCACCAUCUACUGAAUUGCUUCAUGCUUUGCCUCUCAGUCCUCCCCUUGAAGCUGCUCAUUGCGUCUACAGUGAACCUGAGCUUAUAGAUCACUAUAUGCAAGUGUUGAUGAAGCCAUUGAAGCCAGGUCAAGCCCCAAGAACUAAAUUCCUUGUGAAGGAAUUGUUAUAUGUGCCUCGGACUGUCUAUUGCAUUCUGACGAAGACAUUGAGUCCUAUCAAGGGCCACGACUCAAAUGAAGAAGAAGUCGUUGGAAUCAUGAAGAAUCUGCUUUUCAAUAUCAUUCAUGGCGUUCCCGCCAACUUCCAUGAUUUCUUCAUGAGGACUCUGGCCAAUGUCGCAAUGUCACCAUUUGAGUUGAAGCCUUAUGCACCUUGGAUUAUGAGAUUCAUGAGAACAAGGUCUUCACUCAACUACAAAGCUGAUACACUGAACCAUUGCAGCUACUUGCCCCCGAUUGAAGUCCUCAAACAGACAUUUUCCUCAGCUGAUGACAAGGGCAAGGCUACUACUGUUAUUGAUGAAGGCAUUCGUCCAUUGGAUGGUCAAUUUCGCAAAGUUGCAUCUUAUUCCACCAAUGAUGACUCUGCCACCCAUGACUCUGCCGCCAACGCAACCAAACCAAAUCCUCAAGGCACAGCUCCCAGGGUGAUGAAUGACCGUGAGCUUCUCCUCAGUCUUCACCAGAAGGUUGAUCGCAAUCACAAAUGCGUCAAGCGUCAGUUUGGUUCAAUUCUUCACAACAUGACUGCUACCCACAAUGCAGUGAAGAAAAACCAUUACUACCUUCAUGAAACCCUCAACUGCACCUGGGCUGUUCUGUCUCACAUUUAUAGCGCAGAAGAUCUGAAGAACAUGGGUCUCAAGGACUUUGACUGGUCUGCACCUCCACCGAAGAAAUACAAGAAGGUCAAGGUUCCUUCCUUGGUGGCCAGCUCCUAUUCUUCAUCGCGUGACACUGAUGAGCAUGAAGACUUGGACGACACUGCGGCAGGCCCUACAUCAACAAACGACCCCAACAACGCUGGCGCUCCUUCAUCAACUUGAUAUUCUUCAGGGGCGUUAGUCCUCAUUUUCGAACCUUUUGGUCAUUCGAUGACAAAGGGGGAGAAAUUUGAGUUAGUCUUCAAGUGGGUCUAUCUUUUAUGGGCGUUUUUUUCUAAGUUACAACUCUCGUUCUUCUGAUCACUUUGUUGGAUCAAGUUGUAAACUUAAAACUCUAUGGUGGCCUGAUACUUUUGCUGUUUUUUUCUGCAUGCUUAUUCCUCGUUAAUGUUAUUGCACGCAUGCUGAAUUACAUCAGUCACCAUAUUUCAUCAUGCAUUUCAAAUUCUCAUAUAUUAUGUCAAAUGCGUGUAUGAAUUACAAGAUAUAGGGGGAGAUCUCCAUGAUUCAACUCUUCAAGUGUGCAUUGCUUCAAAAGCAAAUUCCUCACUAUGCACAUCUUCAGGGGGAGUUCUUCUAUAUCUUGCAAUCAAAUUCCUCAAUAUCAGUAUUUACACUUCAUAUGUUUAUCCCCGUUGAAAACUUAACCUAUAUUGUCAUCAAUCACCAAAAAGGGGGAGAUUUUGAGUGCAUCUAGUGCCCCUUAGUGAUUUUGGUGUAUUGAAGACUUAUAGGUUAAGGGACUAAUGUGUUUAUGAGUGUACACAGGUCUAUAAGUCUAUGAGGAGUUUGAUAUUUACAGAGAAAGUUGACCCCCAAAAAUGAAGUUCUUCGACUGAAGACUUUGGAUUUCUGAAGACUUUCUGAAGACUUUGAAAGUGAAGAAAUUGGUGUGACCUUGAAGACUUGGUAUUCAUUUGAGGAACAUGAAGCGUGAAGACUUUUAUUUUCGUAGUUUCAUUUUCUCUUUCUUGAGUCAUAGGAAACACCGUACUGUUAAAGGGGGUCGAGGAAAUACUAAGGAAAAAUUUCCAUGUGAUGGUCAACUCAACAUCCUACACCUACCAAUCCCUUCGAGUGAAGCCAUUGGAAAUCUCAUACAGUUCAAUCAUAUUCUUUAGUGACAGAGACGAAGUUCUUCUGGUCUCUGAGGAAUUUGUUCGGACCGAGGAGUUAGGAAUUCGCCAGUGCGGAUUGCCUACACAGUGAGGAACAUGAUAGCCCUGAGGAAUAUGAUACUCAAAUUUCCGACCGUUGCUGUGCUAUGCGCCAGCUGUCCCAAAAUAUCUACCCACCUAACGGUCAUAUCAUUGAAGGGCAUUUAUGUCUUAUCAUGUCGGGCUGCUCCCUAGGCUAUAAAUAGCCGCCCCCUACAACCACUAGCUGGUUGGCUGCUCCGAGAGAAAGUGACAUUUGUCAUUUGAGAGCAUCCCAUCCUCCGAGGACUUUGAGCGAAAAUCAUCGAGUGAGGAAAACCCCAAACCCAAACACCUACAAACCCAAAGUGAUUGAGCAUCACUGAAGAGAUUGGUCCUGGGUGGAUCUGGCGCUUGUUACCUUUGAAGACUGUGCUUCUUCCAGACGGUUAGGCGUCAUGGUCUAGAGCAUCCAAGAGGAAUUGUGGAUCGCCGAGUGACUGAGUUUGUGAAGGUUCGGAAGUCACCUGAAUACUUACCACGAGUGAUUGGGCGAGGUCUGUGUGACCUUAGCUCAAGGAGAAUACGGUGAGGACUAAGUGUCCUGGACUGCGUGUUCAGGACUGGGUGUCCGGGACUGUGUGUCCUCAGGUUUAAAUACCUAGCCGCUCCAACCAGAUGUACAACUGAGACAGCAGUUGGAACUGGUCUACCAAAUCAUUGUCUUCACCAAGCUUACUGGUUCUAUUUCCUCAACUCUUUCAUUUCCUCAUAACUGUGCUGUGUGCUUGUUCAUAUAUGUGUUUGAAGAAUUUGACUGAAGAUUUUCUCAAUUUCCUCAGUUCAAUUUCUUCAGUCUGUUUGUCUUCAUCCUGUGUUAUCCUGUGUUUACGCUUUCUGUACUCUGUGCCUGUCUUCAUUUCAUCAUGAUGACCAUGCUUGUAUCCUGUUAUGUUUACUUAUGAGUACUUAUUCCGCUGCAAGUAGUUCUUCACUAAGGAAUUUCCUCACCCGCAAAUUCCUGAGUGAAGAAUUCAUAAAAGUCGCCUAUUCACCCCACCCCCUCUAGUCGAUAUAACUAACUUUCAAUUGGUAUCAGAGCAAGGUACUCCCUUGUUCUGUGUGAUUUUAGUUUAACCGCCUGGAGUUUUAGUUAUGUCGACCGCAGGUAUGAAGAAAGUGACAUGCCCCAUCUUUGACGGUCAUGAUUAUCCCAAGUGGAAGGCCAUGAUGAGGAAGCACCUAAUGGCACUGAACAGCGAGCUAUGGACCGUCACUGAGAUUGGUCUUACCGAUCUAUGCAAGAUGGUGGACACUGAUGAUAUUCGCAAGUACACUCGACUUGACUUCAUGGCAAAGGAUAUCAUCUGUUCCUGCCUAACCAGAUAUGAAUUCAGGAGCAUUAUGCAUCUUUGUAAUGCAAAGCUUAUCUGGGACCGAAUCUCUGAUGUCUAUGAAGGUCAUCGAACUUGUCAUGAUCCCUGGUUUGAGGAUUUCAAGGAAUCACUCAAAGCGAUGACUUUCGAACCUGAACCAUCAUCUUCUGCACCAUGUCUCAUGGCAAAAGGUGCCAAGGUAACCGAAUGUUCCUCAUCCGAGUCUAGUGAUGAUGAAUCCGAUGAUGAUUUUGGACCUAGCUAUACGAAGCUUGUUUGUAUUGCCACUAAACAACAAAAGGCCUUGGAAAAGGUUCAAAACAUGCUAGAUAAAAGUGAUGAUAUGUUGGGUGAAGAAAUGGAUCGCACUAAAACCUUGACUGAAAAUCUUCAAAGACUUCAGUCUAGAUUUGACAACCUUCAAGGUCAUCAUAACACUCUCUUAUCUGAUCAUGAGAAGCUUUCUUAUGAAUUUCUUCAAAGAAAGCAAGAUCUUGAGAAGCUAAGAGUGGGUUAUGAAGAUCUUCAGAAGGAGCGCGAUUCAUUACUUGCUCAACAAAUCAGCGCUGCUCAGGAAGAAUUUUUUCCUCCAUGUUUGAAAUGCAUUGAACGUGAAUCUGCUAAUUCUUCACCUGAAUGUUCAAUUGCUUCUAAUGCUACAAAUUCUUCAACUGUCUCUGCUAUCACUAAUUCCUCAUCUGAUGACAUUGCUAGUAUCACUGACGAUGCAGGGCUGAAGGAAUUGUACACGACAGGCAUGUACAAAAGCCUCAAAGGGCAUCAGACUCUUUGUGAUGUGCUUAAAAAGCAGAUCCUCAACAGGAACCCUAGGAAAGAGGGUAUUGCCUUUGAGAGGAAACUCAAUGCUGAUGGUACAUAUUGGAAGCCUGAGCAGUACCCCAAAACCUCAUGUGUAUCUGCAAAGGGACCUCCAGUUGAUCCAUCUAAUUUAUCUGGCUUUACAUGUGAAUCUUCUCAUUCUUCUGAUGAGUCAUUUGACUCCAACUAUAAACUAUUUAAAAAUCAGAAUGGUGAAGUAUUUGCUAGAUAUGUUGGCACUAACUGCAGGAACGGUUCUCCUAUGAAGAAAAUCUGGGUUCCCAAAAGGUGCCUUGAAAGUCUUCAGGUGAAUGUCCUCAUGACACCACCUGUGAAGAAUAGGAACCCCAGAUCAAAUUCUUCAUAUGGAUCCAAGUCCUCAUACGGAUCGAAUUCCUCACGUGGAUCAUAUUCCUCAAAAGGAUCAAAGUCCUCAUAUGAAUAUCAUCGUGCUAACAACUCUGUUUCGCAGGGAAGAGCCAAGGGCUAUGAAUAUGAGCAUUAUUCUUCUAAUCAUUAUGUUCAUAAGUCCUCGAAGAAUUUCUCUGCUUAUUCCUAUGCUUACCCUAACUCCUCUUAUGUGAAACGAAAUGGAUUAGCUUCUAUGCCACCUUUCUCGUAUGGAGCUCGCAGAGUGAUGAACUCUUUGCCACCCCUUCAGAUGUGGGUGGUGAAGAAAAAGAACUAAUAUCUUCUGCAGGGUCAGGUCUCCAAACGUGCGUGAACGUCUGAAGAAUUUGCUGGAGACCUGAAGAGUGCCUGAAAGGACGCAGGCUAAUCAUGAAGAAAUGAACUUUCAUUUCUCACGUCCUCAUACUGCUUUAUCUGUUCUAUUACUUGAUGAAAUUGAUCUGAUGAAUUGAUCUCAUAUUCUUCACUGAUGAAGUAUAUGAGUUCAUAAGUUGCACUAAUUCAUCUGCGGGAUGAUCAACCCAAAGCCACUGAGUGGGUCCUCGAUAGUGGAUGCACAAAUCACAUGACUUGUGACAAGAAUCUAUUAAUGGAUGCUCCCUUAUCACCAUCGCAUCUGAAGCAUAUCAUCUUCGCUGAUAAAGGCAAAAGUCAGGUAUUGGGUCUAGGUAAGGUUGCGAUCACAAAGGAUCGACACAUGGACAAAGUCAUGCUUGUCGAGUCCAUAGGAUACAACCUCAUGUCUGUCUCAAUGCUUUGUGAUCUUGAUAUGGUUGUUGUCUUUGGCAAGUAUCGUUGUGUUGUGGUUAUGGAAGCUGACAAUUCCAAAGUCUUCGAAGGCUUUAGGAGAGGAGACUUGUAUAUUGUUGAUUUCUCUACAGGACCGCAACCAGCCGUGUGCCUACUUGCAAAAGCUUCAGAAGGCUGGCUAUGGCAUCGACAACUUGGUCAUGCAGGCAUGAGGAAUUUGCACAUGCUUGCGAAGAAGAAGCAUGUCAUUGGCAUUGAGAAUGUCAAAUUCCUCAAGGAUCACUUAUGCGGAGCCUGUGAAGCUGGAAAGAUGACCAAGGCUAAGCAUCCAACGAAGACUAUCAUGACCACUACCCGACCAUUUGAAUUGCUUCAUAUGGAUCUCUUCGGUCCUAACCAUUAUUCUGCAGUCACAAAUGAUGCAUCUCUCUAUGGCUUUGUUAUUGUUGAUGAUUACUCUCGUUACACUUGGGUACAUAUUGUCACUUACAAACAUGAAGUGCAAGAAGUCUUCAAACGAUUUUCCUCGAGGGCUUCAACCAACUUCGGUGUGAAAAUCAAGCACAUCAGAAGUGACAAUGGAACUGAGUUCAAGAAUUCUGGUCUUGAUGACUAUCUUGAUGAACUUGGUAUUACUCAUGAGUUAUCUGCUCCUUAUACUACUCAACAGAAUGGCGUCGUGGAGCACAAGAACAGAACUCUUGGUGAGAUGGCUCGCACUAUGCUUGAUGAGUACAAGACGCCUCGUCACUUCUGGAUUGAGGCAAUUUAUAUUGCGUGCCACAUCAUCAACAGGGUAUAUCUUCACAAAUUCUUCAAGAAGACUGCCUAUGAACUCCUCACUGACAAGAAACCCAAUGUGAGUUAUUUCAAAGUCUUCGGUGCUAAAUGUUGGAUUAGAGAUCCUCAUCACAAUGCUAAAUUUGCACCGAAAGCACAUGAAGGUUUUAUGCUUGGUUACGGAAAGGACUCGCACACCUACAGAGUCUUCAACAAUGUUCUUCACAAGGUUGUUGAAACUGUAGAUGUGCGGUUCGAUGAAACUAAUGGCUCACAAAGAGAGCACCUACCCUCUGUGAUAGAUGAACCAGCACCUGAGGAAACUAUCAAGUUCAAGGCUACUGAGGAUGUCAUUCCUACCGAAGAAUCUGCUGAAGAAUUCAUUCCAGAACGUGAAGAACGUUGAGCUAAUGCACCUGAAGAAAAUGCUGAAGAAAAUGGUGCCGAAGAAAAUGCUGAUCAAAUUCCUCGACGACAACCAGCUCAUCCUCGCGUUGCAAAAGAAGUGCAAGUUGAAAAGAUCAUCGAUGACAUUGAAGCACCAGGUCCUCUCACAUGCUCAAAAGCUUCAGAUUUAUCUAACUUUUGUGGGCACUAUGCUUUUGUCUCUAUCAUAGAGCCCACUAAGGUAGAUGAAGCAUUUCUGGAGCCUGAGUGGAUUCAGGCCAUGCAAGAAGAAUUACAUCAAUUUGAGCUCAACAACGUCUGGGAACUGGUUAAACGUCCAGAUCCUCGCAAGCACAAUAUCAUUGGCACAAAGUGGAUCUACCGCAAAAAGCAAGAUGAAAAUGGCCUUGUGGUGAGGAAUAAGGCAUGGCUUGUAGCUCAAGGCUACACACAGGUUGAGGGAAUUGAUUUUGAUGGAACUUUUGCACCUGUUGCUAGACUUGAGGCUAUUCGCAUAUUACUUGCUUAUGCUAACCAUCAUGAUAUCACUCUAUAUCAAAUGGAUGUGAAAAGUGCAUUCCUCAAUGGUAAGCUUGAGAAAGAAGUAUAUGUUGCUCAACCCCCAGGUUUUGAAGAUCCAAAGCAUCCUGACAAAGUCUUUAGACUCAAUAAGGCCCUCUAUGGCCUCAAGCAGGCCCCUCGGGUAUGGUAUGAUACUUUGAAGGAAUUCCUAAUGAAGAAAGGCUUCAAACCCGGUUCACUCGACCCUACUCUUUUCACUAAAUCUUAUGAUGGUGAAUUGUUUGUGUGCCAAAUAUAUGUUCAUGAUAUUAUCUUUGGCUGUACUGACCAACGUUAUAGUGAUGAAUUUGCCUAUAUGAUGAGUGAAGAAUAUCAAAUGUCUAUGAUGGGAGAAUUGAAAUUCUUCUUAGGUCUUCAAAUUCGUCAACAGCGCAAUGGCAUAUUCAUAUCUCAGGAGAAAUACCUCAAGGAUGUACUAAGGAAAUUCGGCAUGCAAGAUUGCAAAGGCGUCAAAAUUCCGAUGCCCACAAAUGGCCAUCUGUGCACUGAUGAAAAUGGUAUUGACUUCGAUCAAAAGGUAUACCGCUCCAUGAUUGGUUCUUUAUUGUAUUUAUGUGCAACUAGGACAGAUAUUAUGCUUAGUGUUUGCAUGUGUGCCCGAUUUCAAGCUACAUCGAAGCAAUCACACCAUAAGGCUGUGAAGGAUAUUCUUCGAUAUCUAGCUCACACACCAACACUUGGAUUAUGGUACCCCAAGGGCUCGGCUUUUGAUCUCAUUGGAUAUUCUGACUCUGACUAUGCUGGUGAUCGUGUGGACUGCAAGUCAACGUCUUGUACAUGUCAUUUCCUCGGACGAUCUUUGGUCUGUUGGUCCUCGAAGAAACAGAACUGUGUAUCACUGUCUACUGCUGAAGCUGAGUACAUUGCCGCUGGUUCUUGCUGUGCUCAAUUGCUGUGGAUGAAGCAAACUCUCAAGGACUAUGGCGUCAACAUGAAGAAUGUGCCUCUCUACUCUGACAAUGAGAGUGCCAUCAAGAUUGCUCACAACCCAGUUCAGCACUCGAAGACAAAGCACAUUCAGAUUCGUCAUCAUUUUCUUUGCGAUCAUGUGUUGAAGGGCGACAUUUCCAUUGAGCAUGUGAAGACUGAAGAACAGCUAGCCGAUAUCUUCACAAAGCCCUUGGAUGAGAUGAGAUUUAGCAAGUUGCGGUGUGAGCUAAAUAUCUUAGAAUCUUCGAAUGUUCUUUGAAAAGGACACUCAUCCUAACACUUAUGCAAAAUUGAUGACUUAGAUGUGCAACACAUGAAGAAACAUUUUUCUUCAAUCAAUGAAGAGUAACACUCUAAGUGUGAAGAAAUUAACAAAGAAUUUGAUUCUUAGAACCCUACGACAAUUGUAUGCGAUGUCUGAAAUCAUCAUUCUUAUACGGUGGGUCACGCCACCACCAAAAGUUGAAAAUCUUCAGUUUGAAUUUUUCCUCAGUGAAAUUCCUCAGUUGUUCAUUUUCUUCAACUUUGCAUUGUCUUCACUGUUUCCGUCGUUUUUCUUCACUGGCUAUAUAUAUAUAUAUAUAUAUAUAUAUAUAUAUAUAUAUAUAUAUAUAUAUAUGUUUAUGUCCUCUAGAGCAUUCACUUAUGGCUAAUUCUUCAAGUUGCUUUUUCUGCUAAGUGAAUGUGAUCGGACCCUUCCCCCCUCUAUGCUAAACUCAACCCAAUCUUUUCACAAAUUCUUCAUGUGCGUUCUAUUUGAAACUCGUUCAAAAUCUUCAGUGUGUCCUUGUCAGCUGAAGAAUUUGCGAACGGAACAUUAAAACUUAUCUUAUCCAAAUUUUCGGCUAUGCCGCUCAAACCGUUCCGCAUCCCACGAAAUACUUAUCUGUUCACCCACGAUCUAACACGAUUUCCACUUCUCAGUACGUGGGUGACACAUGUCAAGCAAAUGAGAAGGGUCAGGGGCACGUUCGUCCAAAAUCUUCGGGCGAACAGUUUUUCACCGUGGCUAUAAAUACCCCCUCUGCCCUUCCUCACUUCCUUUACUCCGCUCGACCUCUCUCCAGCUCGAGCUUCUCAAACCCUAGCGCCGCCACUACUUCAUCGUCGCCGGUGAGGAAGAGCUUCACUGCCUCGACCUCGUCGCCGCCGUACUCGCGCCGGCCGCGAAAAUCUUCACUCCGCCGCCGCCGUAGCUGUCUUCCUCCGCCGAGUUAGGGCGUCGAAGAUCUGCACUAACGAACUUCACAUCUCCACAUCCCAGUUCGUCGUGUUCUUCAUUCAGGGUAAUUAAAAGUUACUUUUACUGCCCUCUUUGAUUCAAAUGAUUUCUACAAAAUCUUCAAAGGUGUUUAUUCUUCACACACUAAACACCUCACAUGUCAUCUUUCUUGAUUCGUUUCUCUAAGCAAUAAUUUUUCUUCAAGAUUCCUCAAUUGUGUGGAUCUUCGAUCUAUACAACUCUGGAACCUAAGACAAAGAACGCUUAGUGAAAUUCUUCAAGACUCAUCUGGUCAAAUUCCUCAAACUUGUUCUUUUUGAAAAACCUUCUGAGAACGCAUAUGACCUCUCCAAAUUCCUCGCAACUAUACUCUGUUCACAGGUACUCAUGUCCGCUGCUGAAUCUCUAGGUUCUCAUCAACUUAACUCAUUUGCAGCGUUCCUCGAAGAAAAGUUGCAUACUUCUUCAGAGAAUUCAAUUGUUCAAAUUCCUCAUCUGAAGAAAAUGGCUGAUGGAAAGAAGCCACAGAAAGGAGGAAAGAGGCCUGAGGUCAACAUUGCAUUUGAAAUCCCUGAGGACAUCUAUGCUGGGUACUGCACACCCCCUGAGGAAGAUAAAAAUCAGCGCAAGGUGCGCAUUCAGAAGAUAGAGAGGAGAUGGGCAAGAGAGUGGAGGGAGUACAGAUAUGUUACUCCCAAGUAUAUGAAGAAAUUCACACUCUAUCCUCCAUGCCCAAGACCUCCAUUGUCACCUGGCCUAGAAGCAGAUCCCACCAGCCUCAAGCGCGGUGAGGAUUAUCCUGAUGAAUGGGCCAAGCGCUAGGCCAAGAUGGCUAGACAAGCCAGAGAAGCAGUGAGGAAAUUCAAUGAAGACUCUGCUGCUGCCGCUGAGGCCUUUGUCAAGCUGAAGAAAUCCAUGGCAAAGAAGCCUGCACGUAAGCCAAGUGCUUCACCUUCAAUGUCAUUAAGGCCAAGUUCCUCAGCAAUGCCCUCACGGCCAGAAUCCUCAAAGCCCUCACGGCCAAUUCCUCACGCUGCUCCUGCUCCGACCAAGUCCUUAGCGCCUGUGCAUCUUGCCACGUGCCAAAGGACUACAGGAAUCUCUAUUGCCUCAGGAGCUUUAGCUAGUUCCUCAGCUGCACCAAAUUCUUCAACAGGACCCUCUCUGCUAAAGACAGAGACCACUGCUGGACGAGGUUCUCGCCCAAGUCCUCACAAGAAGCAGGCCGCCUUCCAAGUGCCGUCUGAAGAAGACGAAGCUGAUGAUGAAGAACUUGCUGAAAUCAUCAGAGAUAGGCAAGUCAGGGCUGCUAGAGCCAAGGGCACAAAUGUGCCCCUGCUUUUGGAUCCAAAGUUGAUCCUCGAUUACAUUGAUCUCUGGCACAAGGACCCAAACACUCCUAUGCCUGAUUUCAAGUUGACUCCUGGCCAAAGUCAUAUGCUGACUGCCUUCAUCCAACAAGAGAAAUGGAAAUUUGAGAAGGCUAGGCAGAUCAACAAAGCGCAGUACAGGAAAGAAAAUUCCUGAAGAACAACAUUGUCACUAUGACAACUGAUGAUCUUGUGAAGAUCCAGUCUGAAAUCAAAGUCCUCAGUGAUGAUUUCAAUGCUUACUAUGCUGAUUGGCAAGGAGCCAAGGUCAGGUUUGUUAAACUGACUGAGAAGUUCACCUCCAAUGUUGCAACCCCAUCGCAACAAGAAAUUCCUCAGACUGAAGCAUCUGCUCAGCCAACUAAAGAACAUGCCAGCACCAAUGAUGACAUUCAGGCUGCUGAAGAAAAUGUGAGUUCCAGGGCUGAUGACUGCAUUCCAGCCGCUGAUGAAAUUGCCAGGGCAUCCACUAGUGGUGCGCCUGAAGAAUAUGAAGAGGUCAGGGCAACUGCAUCAGUUGUGCCUGAAGAAAAUUAACCACAUUCCUCUGCUCCUCCUGCGCCUACUCCAACUCCAAUCCUUCCAUCUGCAUCAGAUGUGAAGAAGACCAAGGCUGCAGAGCGUGCAACAAUGAAGAAAAGGAAAGCAUUAGCUUCUUCAGAUUCUUCAGCUCCGAAGAAGAUGAAGAAAUUGACCAGCUCAGUUGCAAACCCCAUUGAUGCUGUUCCGAUCUCAACCAUGCCAUCAAAGGACCUUGUUCCUUUUGAUGAAGAAUAUGUGAUCCCUAGCGGAUCUGAUGAAGAAAAUCCUUCUGCUGCUUCGUCAGGGCAGAUGGAUGAAGAAAUUGAAGUGGAUGAAAUCCCUUCAACUCCAGCUGUUUCCUCGCCUAUGCCUCAGUUUACUGCUGAACAGGCCAGCGUUGAAGAAAUGGAAGAUGAAGAUGUGGACAUUGGUUGUACCACACCAGUGAUGAAUGAUGACUUUUGGGAAAGUCAGCACCCCAACUCUCCACUCUUCACACCUUUACAACAAAUUCCUCAGUCCCCUGUUGCUACUGAAGUACAAAUGGGAUCUGAAGAACGUUGUGCAACCCCAUCUGUCCAUGAAGAAAUUCCAGCCACUAGUGCUGAAGAAAAUGUACAUGAAGAAUUGAAGACCCAGGCUGCCACUGAAGAGGAACCAGAAAUUCCUCAGCCUAAAGAACCUGAGAUUGCGAUUCCUGAGGUUGUAAUGCAACUGACUGACACUCCUCUGCCAGCUGAUUGCGAUUCCGACCGUUGCUGUGUUAUGCGCCAGUUGUCCCAAAAUAUCUACCCACCUAACGGUCAUAUCAUUGAAGGGCAUUUAUGUCUUAUCAUGUCGGGCUACUCCCUAGGCUAUAAAUAGCUGCCCCCUACAACCACUAGCUGGUUGGCUGCUCCGAGAGAAACUGACAUUUGUCAUUUGAGAGCAUCCCAUCCUCCGAGGACUUUGAGCGAAAAUCAUCGAGUGAGGAAAACCCCAAACCCAAACACCUACAAACCCAAAGUGAUUGAGCAUCACUGAAGAGAUUGAUCCUGCCUGGAUCCGACGCUUGUUACCUUUGAAGACUGUGCUUCUUCCAGAUGGUUAGGCGUCAUGGUCUAGAGCAUCCAAGAGGAAUUGUAGAUCGCCGAGUGACUGAGUUUGUGAAGGUUCGGAAGUCACCUGAAUACUUACCACGAGUGAUUGGGUGAGGUCUGUGUGACCUUAGCUCAAGGAGAAUACGGUGAGGACUAAGUGUCCUGGACUGCGUGUUCAGGACUGGGUGUCCGGGACUGUGUGUCCUCAGGUUUAAAUACCUAACCGCUCCAACCAGAUGUACAACUGAGACAGCAGUUGGAACUGGUCUACCAAAUCAUUGUCUUCACCAAGCUUACUGGUUCUAUUUCCUCAACUCUUUCAUUUCCUCAUAACUGUGCUGUGUGCUUGUUCAUAUAUGUGUUUGAAGAAUUUGACUGAAGAUUUUCUCAAUUUCCUCAUUUCAAUUUCUUCAGUCUGUUUGUCUUCAUCAUGUGUUAUCUUGUGUUUACGCUUUCUGUACUCUGUGCCUGUCUUCAUUUCAUCAUGAUGACCAUGCUUGUAUCCUGUUAUGUUUACUUCUGGGUACUUAUUCCGCUGCAAGUAGUUCUUCGCUAAGGAAUUUCCUCACCCUCAAAUUCCUCAGUGAAGAAUUCAUAAAAAUCGCCUAUUCACCCCCCCUCUAGUCGAUAUAACGCACUUUCAGCUUAUCAUAUAGAUAAAAAAGGGUAGCCCCCGAGUGCUCCUCGAGGGACCCGUUGUCUUUGCUCUUAAUACAAAAGGUGGUGUGGUACAUACUGCAUUAACUGUAAAAUUCUCGGAGGAGAUUUGCGUUCCAUGGGCGCUCUCCUUCCUUGACGGAAUUGUCCCUCUUGCGUGCCCUGGCCUUCUACGCGUCGAUGAGAUAGUAGGAGUCGUUACCCAAGGCUUUGCUGAUGAUGAAAGGCCCUUCCCAAGGGGCCGAGAGCUUGUGCUGGCCGGCUGUUCGCUGGAUCAGCCAGAGGACAAGGUCCCCCUCUUGGAAGGAUCGUGGCUUGACCUUCCGGCUGUGGUAGCCGCGCAGGCCUUGCUGGUAGAUGGCGGACUGGCUGAGUGCCAGUAGCUGGCCCUCCUCCAGCAGGUCGACACCGUCUUCUCGCGCCUCCCUCGCCUCCGCCUCCGUGUACAUGGUGACGCGAGGCGAGUCGAACUCAAUGUGAGUUGGGAUGACGUCCUCGGCCCCAUACAUGAGGAAGAAGGGAGUGAAGCCGGUUGCUUUGGUCGGCGUGGUAUGGAGACUCUAGAGGACGGCCGGUAGCUCUUCGAUCCAGCAGCCGGCCGAGCGCCCCAGCGGCUCGACUAGUCGGGGCUUCAUGCCAGACAGGAUGAGGUCGUUUGCUCGCUCGACUUGGUCGUUUGACUGCGGAUGGGCAACGAAUGCUAGGUCCAGUCGGAUGCCCUGUGUCACGCAGAAACGGGCCAAGGCGCCUUUGGCGAAGUUUGUGCCAUUGUCGGUGAUGAUGCUGUGCGGUACACCAUACCGGAUGGUGAUAUCUGCGAUGAAGGUCACAGUAGUCGGACCGUUCAGCUUCUUGAUUGGCUUUGCUUCAAUCCACUUGGUGAAUUUGUCCACGGCGACCAGCAAAUGGGUCAUGCCGCCGCGUGCUGUCUUGAAUGGGCCCACGAUGUCCAGCCCCCAGACGGCAAACGGCCAAGUGAGGGGGAUGGUCUUGAGUGCAGAAGUCGGCAGGUGCUUCUUGGAGCUGAAGCGUUGGCAUCAUUUGCACUUCUUGACCAAAUCCUUGGCGUCGUCCAAAGCAGUCAGCCAAAAGAAUCCAUGGCAGAAAGCUUUGGCGACGAGGGAUCUGGAGGCCGCGUGGUGGCCGCAUUCGCCUUGGUGAAUGUCUAUGAGGAUUGCUCUGCCCUUCUCCGGCUCUACGCAGUGCUGAAAGACCCCAGUCACGCUGCACCUAACGAGCUCUAUGUUCACUAUUGUGUAUGUUGCUGCCCGGUGUUGCACUUGCCGGGCCAAAAUCUUGUCGGCUGGUAACUCUCUGCUUACCAGGAAGUUGAGGAUGGGCUGCACCCAAGAUGGUGCUUCUACCACUGUCAUCACGGCCACUUGUACUAGGGCGGUUGGGUUGGGAGGUGGUGGGUUGGAGUCGGCCGCCGCUUGCUGUGUCAUUGAAGUCCCCGGGCCGACUGCUGCAGCCCCCGGGCCGGGUUCUAAAGUUCCCGGGCCAAGUGCGACUGCUGCAGUCCCCGAGCCACCUGCCGAAGUCCCUGGGCCGGGUUGUGAAGUCCCCGGGCCGGGUGCGAGUGCUGCAAUCCCCGGGCCGCCUGCCGAAGUCCCCGGGCCAACUGUUGCAGUCCCCAAGCCGGAUCCGACUGUUCCGGGAUCAGUCGGCACGAAGAUGGACUCUGAUUCCGGUGAAGGCUUGAUAGACAGCUUGCGUAGGCACUGGAGGGAGACGCCGGCUAGUAUUGCCUGCCGGGUGGAGCCAAUCCGUGCCAGGGCAUCAGCUUACUCGUUGUCAGCACGUGGAACGAGGAGGAACUCGCACCCGUCGAAGUAUCCACUGAUCUGCUAGAUGAGGAAGCGGUAGCUCGCCAUGUCUGCAUCCUUGGCGUCCCAAUCGCCAGACGACUGCUCGACCACCAAGUCCGAGUCGCCGUAGCAUAGCACUCGAUGGAUGCCGAUUUCUUUGGCCAGUUGGAGCCCGUGGACGAGUGCCUCGUACUCGGCCACGUUGUUGGAGGCGGCGAAGUGAAUCCGCAGCGUGUAUCUGAGCUUGUCGCCUUUGGGAGAGGUGAGGACGAUGCCAGCUCCCAAACCGGUGUGCAUCUUGGAGCCGUCAAAGUGCAUUCGCCAAUGGGUGGAAUCCGGCGCUGGCAGCAGGUACUGGGUCUCGGCCCAGUCGACGAGGAAGUUGGCCAGCGCUUGGGACUUGAUGGCGGUGUGGGGCUGGUAGAGGAUGGUGUGGGGAGCUAGUUCGAUGGCCCACUUGGCCACCCGGCCUGAUGCACCUCUUUUGCCUAUGAUCUUGGUGAGUGGGGAAGUGCAGACGACCGUGAUGGAGUGCUCUUGGAAGUACUGCUUGAGCUUCUUGGCGGCAAAGUACACGCCGUAGCACAUCUUUUUGGUAGUGGGGUAGUUCUGCUUGGAGGCCGACAACACCUCACUCAGGUAGUAGACAGGCCACUGGACCGGCUGUGCCUUGCCGUCUUCUGGGCGCUCGACCAUGAUCAAUGUGCUGACCACCUGGCUGGUGGUGGCGAUGUAGAGGAGCAUGGGCUCCUUAGCAGCCAGAGCCGCCAGGAUGGGCGGCGUGGUCAGCAUCUUCUUGAGCUGGAGGAAAGCCUCGUCCACCUUGUCGUUCCACUCGAAGCAAGUGGUUUUCUUCAUUAGCUGGUACAGGGGAAGAGCCUUCUCGCCCAGCCGACUGAUGAACCGGCUGAGAGACGCCAAGCACCUAGUGAACAUAUGGACGUCGCGCAGCCGGGUGGGUCUCUCCAUCCGCUCGAUGGCCUUGAUCUUCACAGGGUUGCACUCGGUGUCGUGUUCAGAGACAAGGAAACCAAGGAGCUGGCCGGCUGGGACUCCGAAGACACACUUCUCCGGGUUGAGCUUGAUUUGAAAACGACGCAGAUUAUCAAAGGUCUCCUUGAGAUCCUCCAGGAGGGUGUCGUGAUUCUCUGUCUUCACCACAAUAUCGUCUACAUAGACGUGGGCAUUUCUACCGAGUUGCUUGAGGAGGCACUUCUGCAUGCAACGCUGAAACGUGGCGCCGGUAUUUCUCAAGCCGAACGUCAUGGUCAGGUAGCAGAAGGCUUCGAAUGGUGUGAUGAACGCGGUCUCAGCCGAUCGGCUGGGUUCAGCUUGAUAUGGUGGUAGCCGGAGUAGGUGUCAAGGAAAGACAGCAGCUCGCAUCCGAUUGUGGAGUCAAUCACUUGAUCUAUCCGAGGCAAGGAAACGGAUCCUUGGGGCAGGCUUUGUUGAGGCUAGUGUAGUCAAUACACAUGCGCCACUUGUUGUUCUUCUUCAAUACAAGGACUGGGUUGGCAAGCCAAUCCGGGUAGAACACUUCCAUGAUGAAGCCAGCUGCCAGAAGCCGGGCUAUCUCUUCACCAACAAUUCUUCUCUUCUCUUCUGACAGGCGGCGGAGGGGUUGCUUGACCGGCUUUGCAUAUGGUCUGACAUGUAGCUUGUGCUUGGCGAAAUCCAUCGGAACACCAGACAUGUCUUUGGGAGACCAUGCAAAGAUGUCCCGAUUCUCACAGAGGAAAUCGACGAGCUCGCUUUCCUAUUUGCUAUCGAGGUUGGUCCCCACGAUAGCGUGCCUCUCCGGGUGCUCCGGGUCCAAGGGUAUCUUCUUGGUCUCUUUGGCUGGCUGGAAGGAGCCCUGGGCCUCCGACUCUUUGGGGUCUGGCGACAUGUCCGGCUGCUUGCUGGCCAUGGCCACAACCCGGUCAAGGAGUCGCUUCUCGGCGGUGAUGACGAGGGACUCGGCCAGCCGACUGCUGGCGGUAGCACAUGCGACCAACUUCUGGUAGUCGCCAGCAAUGGUGAUGAUGCCCUUGGGACCCGGCAUCUUCAUCUGGAGGUAGGCAUACUGAGGCACCGCCAUGAACUUGGCGAGUGCUGGUCGGCCCAGGAGCGCGUGGUAAGGGCUUUCCAGAUCGACCACCUCGAACCAGAUCGGCUCACGGCGGAAGUGGUCCUUGUCACCGAACAGGACGUCUAUCUUGAUCUUGCCGAUUGGAGAGCAGGAAAGGCCGGGUACAAUGCCGUGGAAGACAGUCCGACUGGGCUGGAGCUGUUUCUCUUUGAUGCAGAGCUUCUCCAUGGUGUCGCGGUAGAGGAUGUUGAUGCUGCUACCGUCGUCUAUCAGGAUCCGGGAGAAGCGGCAGGCCCGCCUCUCCAUUGAGAAGGUUGAGUCCAACACCAUGGCGUAAGCACCCGACGAUGGCAUCACGGCCGGGUGGUCAGUGCGGCUCCAGCUGAUGGGCCUCUCGGACCAAUGCAUGAACUCUGGGACUUCUAAGGCGACCGCGUUCACCUCCCGGUGUUGCUGACGCCGACUGUGCUUGUCGUCGGCCAUGCUGGUGAAGACGACGUAGGCUCCAUGCUCUUCGGGGAACUCACCUUGGAUUGCACCGACUGAACGGGCCGCCGGCAGCUGAGGAGGCAGAGCCGACGGGCCGGCAGGUGGAGGAGGCAGGCCCUCGCCCUUAGCGACACAGGUGAGCCAGUGUCACUUCCGGGUGGUGUGGUUGGACGGCUUCGCGCCGCUGUGGAACUUGCAGGGAGCAUCAAGGGUUUGCUCGAAAGAGAAGGCGGGCAACCAAGCGGACUUGCCGCCUUUCUGACGCUUGGGGCUAGGUUGUCCCUCUGGCUGCUGGUCUUCGACUGUUGCUACUUGCCGGCUAGUAGAAGCCGGUUGCGGGGCCUUGCGCUUGUUGUCGUUCGGCUGCUGCCGUCGGCUGGAGUCAUCAGCCGGCGUUCGAGGAGCCGGAGGGGUCACCUUUCUAGACGUGUCUACUUGCAGCUCCGACGUCAUAGAGGAGUCGGCCGUAGCGUACUUGUCCGCUAUGAUCAGCAGCUCGUCUAGGGUAGUCGGCUCGUCACAGAGGAGCCUGUGCUUGAGCAGGGUGCCUUCUCUGCACCCAGCGGUGAAGUAUUCUAUGGCCUUCACCUCAUGCACCCCCUCGCAGGAGUUGCGCAGCUCAGCCCAGCGCGUUAGGUAGUCGCGGGUGGACUCAGUCGGGCCUUGGACACACAGGGAGAGCUGGCGGGGCUUGGGCGGCCGCUUGUAGGUGCUGGUGAAGUUGCGGAUGAAGACAUCGGUGAAGUCUUGCCAGCUGUUGACGCUGUAAGGCUUGAGGCUGUUCAGCCAUGUCCGGGCCGUGCCCUGGAGCAUGAGCUGAACGUACUUCACGGCAACGUGCUUGUUGCCGUUUGCUAUUUUGAAGGCUGUGGAGUAGUCAACCAGCCAGUCCUCCGGCUUCAUGGAGCCGUUGUACUUGGGAGUGUCUCGAGGGAGCGAGAACCCUUUGGGGAAGGGCUCGUCCCGAAUGCGGGGGCCGAAGCAAGGUGGGCCGAUUGCAUCUUCUUCUUCUACCGCCACGGACUGAGCAAGCCGCUCGAUCCGGUGGCAGGCGUCGUUCUCUCCGACUCCUUCACGGGGGCCUAGCCGGCCCCCGAGAGUCGGGUGCUCAACAGUGGCGGGGAAGCACGCCUCUCCCUACGAGGUGGAGGCGGACGGUCGCUCCGCCGUUCCACUGCUCGAGGGCAGCCGUCUUGGUCGCGCUCAAUCGUGAUGCGUGUGCGGCUGCAUCUAGCAGCCGGCUCUUGGUCCCGUCGAUCGCGGGCACCGCCUGUCAGUGACCGGGAGGUCGCACCAUGCUCACGGCGCGGGGGGAGGUUUUCAGCUUGUAAGCCACGUUCCACCAUGCGGCGGCCGUGUUGAGGAGCUGCUGGAUGCGCUCCAUCAUGUAGCGACGCUCGUCGCCCUCUAGGUGGUCCAGCUCGUCUGCCGCCGCCUGGGCGGCACGCAAGUUCUCCAUCGGGUAGCGUAGACGGGGCGAUCGGCUCCCAGCAUGCUGGCGAUGGCCGCACCAUGCUGCCGGACCGUGCCCACCCUGCUGGGUUCACCGGCAGCCGGCCUGCCGCAGACGGCGCGGUCGAUCUCGCGCUGGUAGGCUUCGGUGAGGCGUAUCAUGGCCGCCAGCUUGUUGGCGCUGUCGAGGAGCGAGACGUAGAAUGUUUCCAGCGUCGCGCCAGGCGCUAUGGGAGCGGACAGGUCCCGCAUUGCCACCUGCAGCGGUUCUUGGCCUGCCCUGUCAGAGGCUCCGUCGUGGCUGAUGACCAGCACCUCCUUGACGGUGCUAGCGCUGGCGCCGCUGUCCACAGGAGGGAGCAGGUCGUCGAUGAUCACCACGUGGUCGGGGAAGGCAUCGGUGGAUGCCGCGUCGAAGUCGAUGAGCAUCUCGACGGGCGGGUCGGUGGAGCCAACGGACUCCAGGUCGGAGGCAGGCUCGUUGGCGAUGUGGAGCUUGCCGAGGAGGUCGACGAGGCAGCUCUCGGAGCUGGCUGCUCCCUCGUCGGGCGUAGGCUUGUCAGAGAGGCGGAUCCCGCCGAUGAGAUCGGCGAGGCAGCUUGCAGCGCAAGCGGCUUCCGUGCCACGUAGCGCGUCGACGAAAACGCCAUCAGGCAUGCCGGGCUGGCCGUGCUCGCCACGAAGGCAGAGGGUUCCCAUCCAGAACGUGUUUCCGGAUGACGGUGCACCUUGCCCCACGGUGGGCGCCAAAUGUCGGGGAUAUCUAGCGGCAUAUGCCAGGGGGUGGCUUAUCAUGGAUGGGGACAAGCGUACGUCGCCGGGCUCCAAAAGUGGGAGUGAGCGAGACCGCAUACGCCUGCGAAUCUUACCCAGGUUUGGGGCUCUCCAUGGAGAUAACACCCCUAAUCCUGCUCUGUGGGGUCCCCGUAUGAUGGCUAUCGUCAAUAGAGUAGCUACAAGAUCGCUCCUUGAGCUGUUUCGUCUAGAGGAGGAAGAAGGGCAAGGCUAGCUCUAUCUUCUCCUUCUAUGGGUGUGUGUAUGAUGGUAAAGGUUCUGAACCCCCUGCAUGGGGAAGCCUGGGGGUUUAUAUAGGCCUACCCCCAGGGGUACAAUGGUAAUCCGGCCGGGUGUAGGACCCGGCCGUCAGUGUCUCUGGGUGCGGGCUUCUCCGCCGACUGUUGGGACCCGCCGCUUGGUGGGUCCCGCCGGCUGCCGUGAACUGAUGUCGCUUGAAGCUACGUCGGUAUUUCCCCAAAGAGGGAGGGAUGAUGCAGCACAGCGGCGGUAGGUAUUUCCCUCAAAUAUGACACCAAGGUUACCGAACUAGUAGGAGAACCAAGCAACACAACGUAAACAGCCCCUGCUCACAGAUAACAAAUCCUCGCAACCCGACAUGUUAAAGGGGUUGUCAAUCCCUUCCGGGGUACGGCGCCUCAAGAUAGGCAAACGGACGUGAGAUAAAUUGUAGUAGUUUGAUAGAUCGAACGCCAAACAAAAUAAAUAGAAAUAAAAUGCAGCAAGGUUUUUUUGUAUUUUUGGUUUAAUAGAUCUGAAAAUAAAUGAAAGAGAAAAGUAGAUCGCAAAGGAAAAUAUAUGAGAAAGAGACCCGGGGGCCGUAGGUUUCACUAGUGGCUUCUCUCGAGAAAAAUAGCAAACGAUGGAUAAACAAAUUACUGUUGGGCAAUUGAUAGAACUUCGAAUAAUCAUGACGAUAUCCAGGCAAUGAUCAUUAUAUAGGCGUCACGCCCAAGAUUAGUAGACCGACUCCUGCCUGCAUCUACUACUAUUACUCCACACAUCGACCGCUAUCCAGCAUGCAUCUAGUGUAUUAAGUUCAUGGAGAAACGGAGUGAUGCAAUAAGAACGAUGACAUGAUGUAGACAAGAUCUAUCUAUGUAGAUAUAGACCCCAUCAUUUUAUCCUUAGUAGCAACGAUACAUACGUGUCGGUUCACUUCCUGUCACUGGGAUCAAGCACCGUAAGAUCGAACCCACUACAAAGCACCUCUUCCCAUUGCAAGAUAAAUAGAUCAAGUUGGCCAAAAAAACCCAAAUAUCGGAGAAGAAAUAUGAGGCUAUAAGCAAUCAUGCAUAUAAGAGAUCAGAGAAACUCAAAUAACUUUCAUGGAUAUAAAAAGAUAUAACUGAUCAUAAACUCAAAGUUCAUCAGAUCCCAACAAACACGCCGCAAAAAGAGUUACAUCAUAUGGAUCUCCAAGAGACCAUUGUAUUCAGAAUUCAGCGAGAGAGAGGAAGCCAUCUAGCUACUAACUACGGGCCCGAAGGUCUACAAAGAACUACUCACGCAUCAUCAGAGAGGCACCAAUGGAGGUGGUGAACCCCAUCUGAGAUGGUGUCUAGAUUGGAUCUAGUGGUUCUGGACUCUGCGGCGGCUGGAUGAAUAUUUCGUCAACUCCCCUAGGGUUUUGGGAAUAUUGGGGUAUAUAUAGAGCAAAGAGGCGGUUCGGGGGGCACCCGAGGUGGGCACAACCCACCAGGGCACGCCUGGACCUCCUUGCGCGCCACGGUGGGUUGUGCCCCCCUCGGGGCACCCCCUAGGCGCAGCCAGGGCCCAUUAUGUUCCUUCUGGUCCAUAAAAAAUCUCCGUGAAGUUUCGUUGCAUUUGGACUUCGUCUGAUAUUGAUUUCCUGCGAUGUAAAAAACAUGCAGAAAACAGCAACUGGCACUAUGUCAAUAGGUUAGUACCAAAAAUUGAUAUAAAAUGACUAUAAAAUGAUUAUAAAACAUCCAAGAUUGAUAAUAUAACAGCAUGGAACAAUCAAAAAUUAUAGAUACGUUGGAGACGUAUCAUGAACUCGGCCGACAGGUAGGGCCCGCCGCAUGCGGGCCAGGUUGACUGCUUUAUACUGUAGCCUCGCCUCUGAUGACGGAGGCUUUGUCGGGGGGCGCAUGGCUACAGUCCCGCUGCCUGGCAGGCGCUCACUGUAGCCACACCCCGUCUCAUCAGGUUAAUGGCGCGCAGACUCCAGGGGAGGGAGGGCCGCCUGUUAGGAGUCGGCCCACCCUCGACAUCAUCUGUUAGGGAUCCGCCGCCUUCUGGUGGCUUGCGGACAGGUAGGGCCCACCUCCUGCGGGCCAUACCGACCGCCCAUCGUGGGAGCAUGGCUCCUUCUGACAUAGGUGAUGUCAUGGGUCGCGUGGCAACAGUGCCGUGCCGGGCGAGGGGUGUCCGCUUGGUACACCCGCACUGUGGCCACGUUCCGCCCUGGAUUUGGGGGUGGCAGGUCGCACUGUAGCCACGCCCCGUCUCGUCGUGGUUAAGUGGGUGCCAACUUUGAGGGGACGAGGGGCCGCCUGAUAGGAGCCAGCUCCCUCGUGGCCGUCUUCUGACGUCUCGCCGUCUCCCAGCAACCGGCCUCUUAGACCAGCCGGCCCAAGAAGCCAGCCGUACGUCUGGGAGGUGUGAGGGGCGUAGUUAGCCCCGAUGUCUUGAAAUGCCAUGGGGUGCCUAUGAGGCUACCCGUGGUCAAUUACUCCGACAAUGUGCUUUUCUUGUAAUUCAUGAUGCUCUCUUUGUGUUUCAGUUCUUAUCUUUUAUGCGAACAUCAUUGAACUCAUCAUGCCUAGCUAAAAGGCAUUAAAGAAAAGCGCUUGUUGGAGACAACCCAACACUUUUACCUACUGUUUAUGUGUGUUCACAUGAUUAAGAUAUUGUAGUAAUCAUGUUUAUAGCUUUUGUUUCAAUAAAGUGCCAAGUAAAGCCUUUGGGGUAGUAUGGAUGAUAGUUGACUUGAUUCUGUGCAAAAACAAAAACUUUUGUGCCCAGUCCAGGAAUUUCUAAAAUUCACUGGAACGUGAUUUUGAUCUGAAUUUUUUAUAGAUGAUAGAUAUAAAAAUUCCCGGCAUUUUCGUAUUUUUUGAGAUUGUUUGGAGUAGCAUAAGUAUGGUUGGAGUACAAAUUACUACAAACUGUUCUAUUUUUGACAUAUUAUGUUUUCAAUGCAUAGUUUGCUUGUUUCCUACUUUCUAUGGCUUACAUUGCUCAAUAUAAAUUGUGGAAAUGAUGAGGCACAGUAGGCAUUGUGUGAGAACAAUUAUGAUCCUUGUUUUUUGCAGUACCAAAGUGAAUGGUUUGCUCUUUAUCAUCCUAACCUAUCUCACGAAGUUCCGUUAAGUUCUGUGUGAUUGAAGUUUUCAAGUUUUGGGUGCGAUAUUGAUAUGAGGAGAAUAAGGAUUAACAAGACCAUAAGCUUGGGGAUGCCCAAGGCACCCUCAAGAUAAUAUUCAAGGAAGAUCCAAGCAAGUACGGGGCAUCCCCUCUUUCCUCUUCAACAUUAUCGGUAACCUCACUUGGAGCUAUAUUUUCAUUCGUCACAUGAUAUGUGUUUUGCUUGGAGCGUCAUUUUAUUUUUCUAGUAUUUGCUUGCUUUUAUUUAGAAUAAUGUUUUGUAUCUUUUUACUUCAAUAAAAAUGUCAAGUAUAGCCUUUGCCAUGCUUAUUUUGCAAGUCUAUAUGUGGCUAUUUGAAACAGAAAGUUGUACGCUAGUGCAUUAAUUCUUGAAAAAAGUCCGAAUGUGAUAAAAUGUUGAAACUUUUUGCAGAGUAAUCUAUGAUAAAUUUUCUACAAUGUGGUAAUUUUUCAGAAUUUUUGGAGUUAAAUAAGUAUUGAUACUCUUGCAUCCUUUACAGACUGCCAUGUUUUGACAGAUUGCUAUUAUGUUUGCAUUUGUUUACUUGUUUAAUGGUUCUAUUUGAGGAUAGGAGUAUUAAAUAUGCAGAGCCAUUUAGUAUGCAAUGUCGAAUGUUUUUUUAGUUAUUUACUACAGUAGGGAAUGAUAAGGUUAUUGCAUUGAUUUAUACUAACUUAUCUCACGAGUUCUUGUUGAGUUUUGUGUGGAUGAAGUUUUUGAGAUUUAGGGAAACCAUGAUAUAAAAGGAAUUAAGGAGACACAAAAGUUCAAGGUUGGGGAUGCCCAAGGCAUCCCAAGAUAAUAUUUCAAGAAGUCUCAAUCAUCUAAGCUUGGGGAUGCCCCGGUAGGCAUCCCACCUUUAUUCAUCAACAAUUAUCGGUUAGUAUCGGUUGAGUCUAAGUUUUUGCUUGUUCACAUGAGUUGUGCUAUUCUUGGAAUGUCAUUUUAUUUUGUUUUGAUUGUUGUUUUAAUAAACUACUUAGAUCUGAAAGGUUUAAAUAAGAGAGAGUCCUCAAUUAGCCACCCAUUUACUUAAGUACUCGCAUGAUCUUCACUUAUAUCUUUUUGGAGUAGUUUGUCAUUUACUCUCGUGCUUCACUUAUAUACUAUGAGUAAAUUGUUGAAUAAAUUGAAUGUAAUGAAGUUGAAAUUAUAUGUUCAUAUCAUGCCUAGUGGUAGCUUCACAUUGGGUUUAGAAAGUGAAAUCUUUUGAAGCUUGACAAUCACAAUAUUGGUCAUACAAGCAAUUCAUGCAUGAAUGAUUACUAUAAGGAAGAGAACAUUCACAUGCAAAUAUAUUAUCUUGGACAUCUUCUAUGAUUGUGAAUACCCAUUAAUUAUUUUCAAACUUGAGCAAAAUAGUUGAAGUUGGACAAGGAAGACAACGUAAUGAGUUAUGGUUGUGUAUAUUUGGAUAGAAGUUAUAUUGUCAUGCGUCCUCCAACAUGUGGUGUUUGCCUAGGAUCUUUUGCUAGCCAAAAAUUCAUACUAAGUAGAGAUACUACUUGUGCAUCCAAAAACCCCUUAAACCCAGUUUCUUGCCAUGAGUGUCCACCAUACGUACCUACCUAUGGAUUGAAUAAGAUCCUUCAAGUAAGUUGUCAUCGGUGCAUAAAGCAAUAACAAUUGCUCCUAAAUAUGUUUGAUCUUUUAUUGUAAGGGAAAAUUGAGCGUUAUACGAACUUGUGAUGACAAAGUAAUAAAAGCGACGGACUGCAUAAUAAAGGUUGCUAAUAUAACAUGGUGUUCCUUUGCAUUAAGAGUUUGGGCAUCCAAAAAUUAAAAGCGCAUGACAACCUUUGCUUCCCUCUGCAAAGGGCCUUACUUUUCAGUAUUUACUUUUAUGCAAGAGUCAAUAGUAUGCAUUCCCAUUUGAACCUCAAUUACUCUCUAGUUGGCAAGCAUCAUGUGGUGGGGAAAGAUCUAGGCACAUAUGACCAGUCAAAUAUAUUUGAUCAUGAUUUAUUAUUUUUGACAAUUAUCUCUAUGAUAAAUGAGUUGGGAGGCAAAAUAUUAAGCCCCUAUCUUUCUCUGUGUUCGAUGGAUGCCAUUUGUUCUAAGAAUAUGCUUUGAGUAGUAGCAAUCAUGGAAGACUAUAUGAUGAUUGAGUAUGUGGAGCUCUUACUUAGACUCUAUUGAAUAAGUUGAAUCGCAAUUGUUUGGUGACUAAGAAUAUAGGUUGUUGAGUUUCAAGAGAAUUCAUUGCUUGAACCUUAACAUGUGAAUUGGUUGCUACUUUGUCAUGAUGAGUUUUAUGAGAAAGAGUUGCUAUUAUGAUGCUAGGAAAAGUGAUUGAAAUUAUCAUUGAUCAAACUUAUGCACUAUGCUAGCAUUCACAUUUCAUAAAUUAUUUGUUUUAUCAUUUACCUACUCGAGGACGAGUAGGAAUUAAGCUUGGGGAUGCUGAUACGUCUUCAACGUAUCUAUAAUUUAUGAAGUAUUCAUGCCAUGUUUACAAGAAUUUUAUAUGGUUUUGGUAUGAUUUGCAUGGAACUAACCCGGACUAACGUUGUUUUCAGCACAACUACCGUGGUGUUGUUUUUUGUGCAGAAAUGAAAGUUCUCCAAAUGAGCUGAAACUUUUUGACGAUUUUUCUUGGAACAAAGAGACCCCCGAAGCAUCAUGGAAGGAACAGAAGGUGAAGGAGUAGGGCACAAGACACCGGGGCGAGCCAGGGGGCCCAGGCGCGCCCCGGUGGGUUGUGCUCACCGCGAGGCCCAUCUUCGCGUGAACCGAAGCCAAAAAUCCUAUAAAUAGAGAAACCAUCAAAAAUAACCCUAGAUCAGAAGUUCCACCUUAGCAAGCCUCUGUAGCCAGGAGAAACCAAUCUAGACCCCGUUCCGGCACCCUGCCGGAGAGGGAAAUCAUCACCGGUGGCCAUCUUCAUCAUCCCGGCGGCCACCAUGAUGAGGAGGGAGUAGUCCACCCUCGGGGCUGAGGGUUUAUACCAGUAGCUAUGUGUUUAAUCUCUCUCUCUCUCUCUCGUGUUCUUGAGAUGGCACGAUCUUGAUGUAUCACGGGCUUUGCUAAUAUAGUUGGAUCAUAUGGUGUAUCUCCCUCUCUAUCUUGUUGUGAUGAAUUGAGUUUUCCCUUUGAGAUUUUGUUCUUAUCAGAUUGAAUACUUUUAUGGAUUUGAGAGCACUUGAUAUAUGUCUUGCAUAUGAAUACCUAUGGUGACAAUGGGGUAUUAUAUUGAUUCACUUGAGAUAUGUUUUGGCACCCAACUCGUGGAUUCCCGAGGUGACUUUGGGGUAAUCUAUGCAUAGGGGUUGAUGCAUGUUCUCGUCUUUUGUUUCUCCGGUAGAAAUCUUGGGGCACUCUUUGAGGUUCUUUGUGUUGGAUUGAGUAUUAUGAAUCUGAAUUUGCUUUGGUGUUAUUUCAAUAAAAACUCUUGAUAGAUCCAUCGGAAAGAAUAACUUGGUGUUAUUUUAUUACGAACUCUUGGAUAGAUCGAUUGGAAAGAAUGGCUACAAACAAUUUCUUCCUAUGUUCUCCGCUAGAUAAGAACUUUGGAGUGAUUCUUCAUCGCACGUUGAGGGAUGGUUAUGUGAUCCAAUUAUAUUAGCCUUGUUGAGAGAUUGCACUAGCGAAAGUACAGACCCUGGGCCUCAUUUUCAAGCAUUGCAAUACCGUUUGUGCUCACUUUUGUUACUUGCUACCUUGCUGUUUUUUAUUGUUCCUAUUACAAAAACCAAUAUCUACCAUCAUUACUACACUUUUAUCACCAUCUCUUCGCUGAACUAGUGCACCUAUACAAUUUACCAUUUGUAUUUGGUGUGCUGGGGACACAAGAGACUUUUUAUUAUUUGGUUGCGGGGUUGUUUGAGAGAGACUAUCUUCAUCCUACGCCUCUCACGGAUUGAUAAACCUUAGGUCAUCCACUUGAGUGAAAAUUGCUACUGUCCUACAAAAUUAUGUGCUUGGAGGCCCAAUACGUGUCUAUAAGAAUAAAAUUGUGUAGUAGACAUCAGUAUCCUUGUCCGCAAAACAAAGGUAACCACCGAGAGUGAAUUGCAAGAUGAAAACAUGGCAGUAUAUAUGAUUAGCACGUAUACACGCUAAUCCAUUACACAUGUAUUAAGGUCCCACCAUUUGAACUUUGGUGUCCAACUCAAUUGCCUGCGAUACAUUUUUUUUGCAACCAUCCCAUUGAAAAAAUAGCGCUCUAUAGAGCCGCUAAUAACACGUUAUAGCGCGCUAAUAACACACUAUUUUAGAGAGAAUUGUCUUGCUAAAUUGAUAAGUGUACAAUAUCUUGCUAAUAGCAUGCUAUAGCGCGCUAAUAGCUAUUGGGUUCUACGGUAGGGUGCGUCGACUGCAAAUUAAAUUUUCCUACGCGCAGAACAUCCAAGAACAUGCUAUGGGAGAUGGAUCACAGUUCGUUACCACUAGACGCGCAGUGCCGUGCAGCGGAAGUAGAGUUGAGCCAGCGCGUCCACGUGGUUCGUCUCCUCCUCGUCCGAUCUCCCUCGAACAGCCGGUCAUCGGAUCCCACGUAUAAGUUCGCCGGAGCAGCGCAGGUGCACCGCCUGUAACGGUAUCUGCGCGUGCAGGAGGAACACCGUGCGGCAGACUGCUAGGUCCGAUCACACAAUCGGCGGCGAGUGGAGGUGUCUAUUCGCAACACAUGCAAACCCUAGUGACAGUGCCAAAGCGAUCAACCGCAUGAGUGUGCCGCACCUCCACUUUAUAUAGGCGUCCGUCGCGGGCCCAACACUUGGGCCUCACACGGACCCUAAAGCCCAUAAGUCUACUCGAUCACAAUCCGAAUACAGCUCGGAUCACAUCCGACCAGUGUCCUCGGAUCCGACCUCGUAGGUUCCUUCCCUUAAGCGCGCGAUCCCUUAGGUUCAAGUCGGCUUGGUCGCAGUUUGGAUCACCUCCGAACUGCACGGUUGGUAGCGGCCUCUAGCAAGGCAUGCCGAACACCAAGCAGACUAUGAAGCUGGUUAGGCGAACCUGUACAUCACACUUCCAUUCCUUUUGCCACACGAUAUAUGUUGUCGGGCUCAAGGCGAGUCUGUCAUCCUUGUGCUAGCCCGACCUCUUUCUCGUUUCAGUGAUGCCGACCACAAACCGGAUUAUCUCAUAAUCCUAAUCGCAUGGCCAUGCUUAUCAUGGUCGGAUCACACGAGGGGCCCAGAGUAUAUCUCUCCUGAUCGGAGGGGCGAAUCCCAUCUUGCUCGACCACGUCUCGCCGCAUGGGUCUGGACAAGCCCGAAACCUACCUUUGUAACUACCCAGUCUCGGAGUAGCGUUUGGUCGGCCCAAAGCAAGUCUGUCACCAUCCCAAGUACAUGUGCCAGCUCAAGUCUUAGGACAUAGAACAUAUGUUGUGCUAGAGACUCACAGAUGACAUAUCACUGCGUCUCUUAGUUGGGUGUGUCCAACUCGGACCUUAUCUCGACUCGGAUCCGACUACGUCGAAUCCGACCAGAUCCUUCCAAGUCCAUAUUAUCCGGUUAGCAUCCAAUGCUCCAUGGCUAGUGAGACCAAGCCAUCGACCGUGUCAUAUGCUAGUCCAGUUGGAUGUGCAUCCACACAGCCCUUUCGACUAGGGACCUUUUAGGACAGUCAUCAUACAAUGCAUAGUCCCAAAAACAAGUCACGUACUUGCUGAUACACAUCAUUGAUAAUGUCCAAGGACUAUCUUUAUUCAUAAACACAUAGGAAAUAUCAUCAUACAUGAUUGCCUCUAGGGCAUAUCUCCAACAGUCUCCCACUUGAACUAGAGUCAAUCAAAUAGACAUCAAAUGCCCAUAGCUCUAACGUGCCCCUCAUGCUUGGGUUGUGGAAGCGGCUUAGUCAACGGAUCUGCAACAUUUGCAUCCGUGUGAAUUUUGCAUAACUCUACAUCACCAUUCUUUACGAUCUUUCGUAUCAGGUGAUAUUUCCGAUCUAUGUGUCUGACCUUGUGGUGAUUCCUUGGCUCCUUGGCUUGUGCGAUGGCACCAGAAUUAUCACAAUAAAGGUCCAACGGUUUUACCGAGGCUGGGAAAAUACCAAGAUCAUCCAGAAAGUUCCGGAUCCAAACACCUUCCUUUGCAGCUUCACAAGCCGCAAUGUAUUAGGCUUCUGUGGUAGAAUCGGCCACCGUAUCUUGCUGGGAACUCAUCCAGCUCACUGCUCCUCCGUUCAUGACGUACACGAAUCCGGACUGUGAUCGACAAUCAUCUCUGUCGGUUUGGAAGCUAGCAUCGGCGUAACCCCUUACGACGAGCUCUUCCUCACCUCCAUAAACUAGGAACAUCUCUUUAGUCCUUUUCAGGUACUUCAAAAUAGUUUUUACCGCUGCCUAGUGACUCUCACCUGGGUUGGCCUGGUAUCUGCUUGUUAGGCUUAUUGCAAAAGCAACAUCAGGCCUUGUACAUAUCAUGGCAUACAUGAUGGAUCCGAUUGCCGAGGCAUACGGAAUCCUACUCAUCCUGCUUCGCUCAUCAGAUGUCGAAGGACUCUGAGUCUCGCUUAGCCUUAUACCAUGUGAGAGUGGCAAGAACCCUUUCUUCGCCCCACUCAUGUUGAACUGCUUCAGCACUUUAUCUAUGUACGUGCUCUGGCUUAAGCCGAGCAGCCUCCUCGAUCUAUCUCUAUAGAUCUUAAUGGCUAAAAUGUACAUUGCCUCACCAAGGUCUUUCAUCGAAAACUGGCCAUUCAAUGACUCCUUGACCGAGUUCAGCAUCGAAACAUCAUUUCCGAUCAGUAGUAUGUCAUCCACAUACAAGAUCAAAAACACUAUUGAGCUCCCACUUAACUUCUUGUAUAAAUAAGAGUCCUCUUUGCUUUUGAUGAAGCCGAAACCAGUGACGACCUCAUCAAAACGAAUGUUCCAGCUCCGAGAUGCUUGCCUCAGCCCAUAAAUGGAUCUCUUGAGCUUGCAUACCUUACUAGUGCUAGUCGGAUCGACAAAACCCUCGGGUUGUAUCAUAUACACAUCCUCGGUUAAAUUUCCGUGAAGGAAAGCCGUCUUGACAUCCAUCUGCCAUAUCUCGUAAUCGAAAUAUGCAGCUAUAGCUAGUACGAUCCUCACCGACUUCAGCAUCGCUACCGGCGAGUAAGUCUCGUCGUAGUCAAUUCCUUGAACUUGUCCAUAACCCUUAGCAACAAGCCGAGCUUUGUGGAUCUGAACAUUUCCAUCCACAUCGGUUUUCUUCUUAAAGACCCAUUUGCAACCAAUGGCUGUUACGCCAGGCGGCAGAUCAACCAAGUCCCAAACUUGAUUCUCAUCCAUGGACUUUAACUUAGAUCUCAUGGCCUCUAGCCAUGCCUCGGAAUCUGGGCUCACCAUCGCUUCCGCAUAUGUAGCCGGUUCGUCGCUUUCUAGCAACAAUACAUCACACACUCUGCGCAAUCUCUCCGACCUCCGUGGUUCCGGUGCCGCUUCCACUACGGGUUCCCUGACUGACUCCGGUAUGAUCUCAUCACCAGCCGAGCCGUCCCCGAGUGGUCCUUGAAUUUCUUCGAGUCGGACUGUCCUCCCACUGGCCUCCCGACUGAGAAACUCUUUCUCAAGGAAUACCCCGUUCCGAGCAACAAACACUUUGUUCUCUUCCCGGUUGUAGAAGCUAUAUCCCAAGGUUUCCCUCGGAUAUCCCACGAAUAUGCAUUUAUCUGACUUGGGUGUAAGCUUCUCUGACAUAAGUCGCUUGACAAAUGCUUCACAACCCCAAAUCUUUAGAAAAGACAAACUUGGACUCUUCCCGGUCCACAUCUCAUGUGGUGUCUUGUCUACGGAUUUUGAUGGUACCCUGUUAAGUGUGAAAGCUGCAGUUUCUAGAGUGUAUCCCCAGAAUGACAAGGGUAAAUCCGAUUUGCUCAUCAUAGACCGUACCAUGUCCAACAAGGUCCUAUUCCUCCGUUCCGACACGCCGUUUCUCUGUGGCGUACCCGGAGGUGUGAGCUGAGGUACUAUACCUCGGCUUUUCAGAUGAUCAUCAAACUCCUGGCUCAUGUACUCACCUCCACGAUCUGAUCGUAGAAGCUUUAUAGUCUUGCCGAGUUGAUUCUCAACCUCGUUCUGAAACUCUUUGAACUUUUCAAAAGUUUCCGACUUGUGCCUCAUCAAAUAGAUAUAUCCAUAUCUACUCAAGUCGUCGGUAAAAGUCAUGAAGUACUGAUAUCCACCUCUGCCAGUUGUGCUCAUUGGACCACACACAUCACUAUGUAUAAGUUCCAAUAGCUCGGACACCCUCUCGCAACUCUUUGCGAAAGGAGACUUAGUCAUCUUGCCGAGCAAGCAUGAUUCACAUGUCUCGAACGACCCAAAGUCGGACGAAGUUAGGAGCCCAUCAUCAUGGAGCUUCUUCAUGCGUUUCAGACUAAUGUGUCCAAGCCGGCAAUGCUAGAAGUAUGUCGGAUUUAUCUCAUUACGCUUAUGCCUCUUGACAUUCACGUUAUAGACCGGUUCCUGUUCCAGAUUCAAUAUAAAUAGCCCAUCUACAAUGGGUGCAUAGCCGUGGAACAUACCAUUCAAAUAAAACGAACAACCAUUGUCCUUUAAAUUGAACUCAUAACCCCGACUCAUCAAACAUGAGGCAGAAAUAAUGUUCCGACUAAGUGCAGGAAUGUAAUAACAGUUAUUCAAUUCCAAAAUAAAUCCAGAAGGAAGUUGGAGCUGCAUCGUGCCGACCUCCAACACAGCAACUCUUGCUUUGUUGCCGACCCCGAUGUCAAUCUCCCCUUGUGCCACACGCCUAGUUCUUACCAGCCCCUGCGUCGAGUUGCAAAUAUGAACAACUAAUCCGGUAUCAAAUACCCAAGAGCUACUAGGUAUGUCAGCAAGGUAAAUGUCUAUAACAUAUGCAACAAGUGUACCUUUGCCUGAAGCAGCAUUCCCGGCCUUCUUGCCAUGCUCUACAAGCCACUUGAUAUAGUUCCUCUUCCAGUGACCGGUCUCCUUGCAAUGAAAGCAAAUGGUCUUCGAGUCCGGUCCUGACUUUGGCGGAGCGGCGGAGGUUACCGUCUCCAUGCCCUUUGCCUUAGCCUUCUUCUUGGACCAACUCUUCUAGAACUUAGCCGAUUUCUGCACCAUCAACACUUGAUGCAUGCCUUUCUUAAUAUCCUGCUCUGCCACCUUAAGCAUCCCAUGCAAUUCAGUGAGCUUCUUGUCCAUGCCAUGCAUAUGAUAGUUCGAGAUGAACGUCCCAUAGUUGGGCGGAAGAGAACCCAGAACUGCAUCAGUAGCCUGCUCAUCCAAGAGCGGGAAGCCCAGCCGAUCCAAAGCUUGCACAUAUCCGAUCAUCUUGAUCACAUGUGGGCUCAGUGGAUCACCUUCCUUCAGCUUGCAAUCCAUCAAGGAUCGCCAGACGUUGAACCUUUCGGUUUUAGCCUGUGUCUGAAACAUGCUCUUGAGACUCUCGAUCAUAUCGUAAGCCUCAACAUUUUUGAAAUGCUGUUGCAAAUCGGGCUCCAUACAAGCCAGCAUCAGACAGCUGAUCUCCGUUGAUUCAUCAAUGAGUUUCUGGUAGGCAUUCUUAGUUGUGUCACUAGCAUUAUCGACAGGUUCCUCUGGAAGUGGAUCCUCUAGAACAUGUUCCUUUUUAUCAUGCUUGAGAACAAUUCUCAAAUUUCUAUACCAGGUGGUAAAGUUUGUUCCAUUCAGUUUAUCCUUUUCCAGAAUUGAUUUCAAUGCAAAGUUGGGUUGAGCAGGUGGUGCCAUUGAUCUACAACAGAAAAUAUGCAAUCACUAAGCAAUGUGUUUAUGUAGAGUAAUUCUAGCCUUAAACGAUAAUACUCCCACUGAAGUUGGCAUCCCUCCGCAAACUCUCAGUGAUUCAGGAUCCGACUAGCACAUGCGACUAGUGAGCUUUAGCAUCACUGCUAGACAACAGGCCUAUCAGGUAAGCAACUCCUUGCUAAUCGUAUCUCUAUACAAUUCCUGUCGGUCGGGAUGGUAUCUCAUACCCCGGCUCCCAACCUUCUUUGCCACAAGGCCCAAAACCGUUUUGAUAGCCUUGUCAAGUUAACCUGAUGCAGUGCAUGUCCGUGUCCGACACGAACCCUUCAGUUCAAGGACACCCAGCGGCACCUCAAUUUUAUGAGCCCACUACUAGACGUACUUGACGUGCGAAGGUGCAACAUCAGGGAUGGCAAUUCGCUUGAUAUUCAUGAGGGAUCUUUCUACCAUUCUAACAUGCAUAGAAAACAAGAAGCAUAACAAUCACAAAUAAACAUAUAUCGUGAAAUAGUAUGGCUCCUUUAUGGACGUUCUUCCAGGUCGGCUCCGACUCCGAUGACCAUCUAGGAACUCCAUCUUGUUUGUCACACCGGGACACCAAGCCACCAACCUGAUCUCUAUUAUCCAACUACUACAACUAGUAAUGAAUUUUACAUAGAGUCACAAGUCGACACGCAGGUCGUUACACAAUAUAAGGACAACACUUUGGCUCCUGCCGGCUGACAAACAUGACACGCAGGCCAUGUAUAAUUUACACACAUGCAUCACAUACACAUGAGCCAUACUAUUCACAUCAAACCCUACAAAAUAAAGUUAUGCAUAGAAUCGCAUUCCACCGGUUUGAGUGAUCGUGUAUGAAAUAUAAGGCGCUACACACACGGCGGUCCCGAUCACGCCGAAUUUUCCGAUCUGACCGAUCUCAUCGAUCAUCGCGAAUCCGAUUCGGAUUUAUGUUUCACUGUUAACCCCGAUGGCAGAUAACCGACCGGUAGGGGUAGGUUGUGUCACGACCUCAUCGAUCCCGAUUGACAGAAAACAUAGCCUCAUCGAUCCCCAUGUGCAGUUGAUCUCAUCAACCGUGCACACAGCCGAUCUCAUCAACGACAACGGAUCUCAUUUGCCGCCUCCACAUAUCUAAUAUGCAUACGAUCUGAAUCCCAAUCCUAUAGCAGAGGCUCUGAUACCACUGUUGGGCUCUAUGGUAGGGUGCGUCGACUACAAAUUAAAUUUUCCUACGCGCACAACAUCUAGGAACAUGCUAUGGGAGAUGGAUCACAGUUCGUUACCACUAGACGCGCAGUGCCGUGCAACGGAAGUAGAGUUGAGGCAGCGCGUCCGCGUGGUUCGUCUCCUCCUUGUCCGAUCUCCCUUGAACAGCCGGUCGUCGGAUCCCACGUACAAGUUCGCCGGAGCGGCGCAGGUGCACCGCCUCUAACGGUAUCCGCGCGUGCAGGAGGAACACCAUGCGGCGGACUGCUAGGUCCGAUCACACAGUCGGCGACGAGUGGAGGUGUCUAUUCACAACACAUGCAAACCCUAGUGACAGCGCCAAAGUGAUCAACCGCAUGAGUGUGCCGCACCUCCACUUUAUAUAGGCGUCCGUCGCGGGCUCAACACUUGGGCCUCGCACAGACCCUAAAGCCCAUAAGUCUACUCGGCAACAAUCCGAAUACAGCUCGGAUCACAUCCGACCAGUGUCCUCGGAUCCGACCUCGUAGGUUCCUUCCCUUAAGCGUGCGACCCCUUAGGUUCAAGUCGGCUUGGUCGCAGUUCGGAUCACCUCCGAACUGCACGGUUGGUAGCGGCCUCUAGCAAGGCAUGUCGAACACCAAGCAGACUAUGAAGCUGGUUAGGCGAACCUGUACAUCACACAUCCAUUCCUUUUGCCACACGAUAUAUGUUGUCGGGCUCAAGGCGAGUCUGUCCCUUGUGCUAGCUCGACCUCUUUCUCGUUUCAGUGAUGCCGACCACAAACCGGAUUAUCUCAUAAUCCUAAUCGCAUGGCCUUGCUUAUCCUGGUCGGAUCACACGAGGGGCCCAGAGUAUAUCUCUCCUGAUCGGAGGGGCAAAUCCCAUCUUGCUCGACCACGUCUCGCAGCAUGGGUCUGGACAAGCCCGAAACCUACCUUUGUAACUACCCAGUCACAGAGUAGCGUUUGGUCGGCCCAAAGCAUGUCUGUCACCAUCCCGAGUACAUGUGCCAGCUCAAGUCUUAGGACAUAGAACAUAUGUUGUACUAGAGACUCACAGAUGACAUAUCGCUGCGUCUCAUAGUUGGGUCUGUCCGACUCGGACCUUAUCUCGACUCGGAUCCGACUACGUCGGAUCCGACUAGAUCCUUCCAAGUCCAUAUUAUCCGAUUAGCAUCCAAUGCUCCAUGGCUAGUGAGACCAAGCCAUCGACCGUGUCAUAUGCUAGUCUAGUUGGCUGUGUGUCCACACAGCCCUUUUGACUAGGGACCUUUUAGGACAGUCAUCAUACAAUGCAUAGUCCCACAAACAAGUCACAUACUUACUGAUACACAUCAUUGAUAAUGUCCAAGGACAAUCUUUAUUCAUAAACACAUAGGAAAUAUCAUCAUACAUGAUUGCCUCUAGGGCAUAUCUCCAACAGUAUAUUUUCAAAGACGGUUCUAUUUUGUAUACCGCGCUAUUUUUUUCCUUUCCAUCCCAGAAAGAAGUAAAUAAUAAAUUACCACAAACAGAAACAAGAUAAUAGGACUAAAACCAAAUAGAAUGUGUUGCCAAAAGAAAAAAGAAAUCUAUUACGAGUAGCAUAUAUAAGAAUCAAGAAGAGUUCUUACAUGGAUCUCUAACUUCUCAAUAAAGGAGUUGUCCUAAGAAUGGAAACCACAUUUGGAAGCUUGUCGGUAUCUUCAACUGUUAUACCCAUUAACAACUAUAAGCACUUAAGAUGGGGAAACAAGCAUGUGCUAUUCAACACUAAUGGCAUCUGCAAGACAAAAGAACAAAGUUGAUUGCCUAGAUGAUAUUACUUAAAUUUAAUUGUAACCUCAAGGGCAUUGCAGGAGCAAACCUCUAGCCGCGGGUUAAAAGUCUGUAGCAUCAGAUUUUCUAUGCUCGAAAUACCAUUGAGAAGUGCACCGACAACGUCUUGAAAAUUUAUCAUGGCGAAACAUAUAUCUGCAUUUUCCAGCUCCGAGUCUUGAUUUAUAACAAUAGGAAGAAUGGGUCCAUCAUAUUGAAAGGUAUCCAAUUUCAAAACUCUAAGUUCUAUCCUGGUCACCCUACAAAGUAUAAGUGUUAGGUGUCGCAGGUGGGACAAUGGACGAUCCGACUUUAAUUCGCUAUCCAGGAAGCAUCUGACUAAGCUUAGCCGUUUAAGAUAACAACAAUUGGAGAAUAUGACCUGAAGAUCUUUUCUAGUGAUAUCCACGAAUUCCAGGUCAAGCUUUCUUAGGCUUGGGAAACCAUUGAAUUUAAAUGGUGGUCUGAAGGAUACAAAGCUAAGUUGAAUACAUUCUAGACGUGAUUUGCUUUCAGUAUCCAAAAGGUGAAAUGGAAAUAUGUAACGAAAGAUAUCUCAAACUGCCUUGUUAACCGGCCAUAAGUAGAUAGCAAUGCUCUUUGUCUGUGACGACACAACAAAAUCAACACAUUUAUUGAGAUGAGUAGCCAGCAUGAUGUCAAAUUCGAAUUUGACAUGGAAUUCUUCGACCACCGUCCCAUGGAAAUUUCUCAAGACUGCAUUGACAUCAUUGAUGAGCUUGUGCAUGUAUUCAUAACAUUCUUUUCUUGAAAAGCUAUCACGGCAACACCCAGCAGCACCAGUGAAACAUAAUUUGUGGCAAGAAAUAUCGCGGAUAGGUCUCCAGUGACUUGACAAAACACUGGCCCUUGAAAUCUCUUUAGGAGGCAACGUUGACAAAAUUAUGCACAUCACAUCCUGCGUUAACGGAAUAUAGAUGCUCAAGAUUACAAGUUAUAGUUGUACUCGACUGUAUAUCAGAAAAAGGAAAAUUUGGCACACAUUUGAAAGGUCUUCCAAUUUAAUGUGUGACCUCGACUUCUUAUAGAUUGAAUUCCCAUGGGUAUGGUCUGAUGAUGUUGCUUUGCACAUUUGAUGCCUCCCCAUUUGUAAAACCGAAUAUGAGAAGUCAGAGUUCCUCCAAGAUUAUAUGGUAUUAACUAGUGGAUAUUCACAAGUGUAUUAACUAGUAGUAGUAGGCAUUACCGUGGAUAAUUCGAGGAACUAGUAGUUUGUCGUCGGUGCCAGCGGUUCGGUGCUUGGGGGGUCCGAUUGUUUUUUUUUAAGAAAACCCGCCCACUUUAUUGAUUCAUCUCAAUGAUCAUAGGUACAAGGUUUUGUUCAUGGGGUAGUCCCAACCAAAUGUGUCGGCCAGGCCCAAGAUUACAAUCAAACUUGGCGAGAUUAUGAGCUUUUAAAUUAAACAAACUACGCUCAUGACUAAAACAGCAAAAAGCAAAAGUAUUUCUAGUGAAAUUAAUCUCCUUUAUUAUGGCGCCGUGUUCUCCACCAGAUUCUUUUUUUUAGCACUGUUCUCCACCAGAUUCAUUCCCAAUAUCUUUGAUCACCCCCUCACAAUCAGAAAGAAGCAAUGUUGGCUUUUAACAGGACGUCGAGACCAUUUGAUUCGUCCAGGAGGAGGAAUUGGACUCGGAUUCCUGGGCCCGAUUUUAGAGAGGAAGGAAGCGCGUUCCGCUUCCCGGCCCAACCCUCUUUCCUUCCGCUUCCCGGCCCAACCCUCCAUACAAAUGCAAAACCCUAAUAAGAAACCCUAAGAAACCCUUCUCCCCCGCCACCGGCCACCACCCCGACCAACGGAGGCAGCGAUGGGAUGCACGGCGUCCACGCGACGUGCGGGGUGGGGCUCGCUCGUGUUCGAUGUCUCAGGGUACGGCGGAGUUAGCCUCGACGUACAAUCAUCAGAAGUAUUCACCGUCGGCGCUUACGACUGGCAGAUUCGUUUCUAUGAGGAAGGAGUGUUUGGGCAUUCCGGAGGCUAUGUGGCGGUCUAUCUCUUUUUAGUCAGCAAGAAGGCCAAGGUGAGGGCAACAUUCGAGCUCAGUUUGGUGGACAUCACUGGAUCAACGCCGCCUCGUACGAUGAGGACGGUCGACGCAGAAUUUGACUCUGGCGACCGAACGUGCUUCGGCCAUCCCGAGUUCAUGAGGAAGAGCGAGCUCGAGGCGUCGCCUUACCUUCGCGGCGAUCGCCUCACAAUUGAGUGUGCCAUCACUAUCUGCAAGGAAGCGCCGGUCUCGUCGAAAUCGUUUGCUGAGGUGCCGCCAUCCGACAUCACGGAUCACCUCAGGAAGCUGUGGCAAGGGAAAGAGGGCAGCGAUGUCACCUUCGAGGUUCAAGGGGAGGCUUUUCCUGCCCACAAGACGGUGCUCGCGAUGCGGUCGCCGGUGUUUAAGGCAGAGCUGUACGGUGCCUUGAGGGAAAAUGAUAUGGGUCGCGUUAUCAUUGGCGACAUGCAACCUGCAGUCUUCGAGGCCCUGCUCCAUUUUAUAUACACCGAUUCAUUGCCCACCAUGGAUGAUCUUUACCAAGAUCAAGAUGAAUACAAAGAGAUUAUUGGACAUUUGCUUGUAGCCGCGGAUCGGUAUGCCAUGGAAAGACUGAAGAUCAUAUGUGAAAGCAUCCUUUGCAAGAACAUAGAUGUGAAGACCGUGGUGACUACACUGGCUUUGGCUGAUCAGCAUCACUGCAACAAGUUGACUGAUGCUUGCAUUGAAUUUAUUGCCUCUUUGGGUAAAGUGGAUGAUAUAAUAGCAAGCCAGGGAUAUGCUGAGCUCAAAAGAACCUGUCCUUUGGCUUUACUGGAACUGUGGGAGAAGGCAACUAGGCUCUACAUGAUAUAGUCUUCAUUUCACAUUGGCAUGCGUGUUAAGUCGCAUACAUAUCUUGCUACUUGUUUGAUGAAGGAUUAGUUUAUUUUAAUAUAUAUGGAGCUUCGGUGAAAAACAGUACUACUCUGCUAAUGUUUUUCAUUUGCCAAGAUGUUGCAUACUUAUCCUUUUAGCGCAAAUGGUAUUGUUGCUAAACAAUAUAUAUGAGUGUUUAAUUGUUUGUUAAAAAUUAAGUCAUAGGUUUUAAUUACCACACUACAUGUGCAGGCUAGUGUAUGCUACUCAGUUCGAUGGUGAUAUCUGCCGUAACGAAUAAGCAGCAAAAUGCGACAAGAGUGGGCCAGGAGUGUGUUAAUGUGAUUAUAAGGGAACAUUUCAUCAAAAUAUGAAAUUCGAAACGGGAGAACGAAUGCCACAUUUUCGAACUCUUGAGUGUUGUAAAACAAUGGGGGUGCAUUUGAAACAAUAAUUCUUGCACUGGAAGGUGUUCAAUUUCUAUUGUCAGGUACUUUUCUGUUCUUGCAUCCUCCAAUUGGUUUCAGUUUUUAUUUUACUUACCUGAAAAGUUGAGACUGAAUCCAUAAGCAGUUGACCCAUCGGUAUGCUUUUAAUCUUUUACAAAUAUAAAAUGAAUUAAGUAAUCAAUCUAACCUAUGGAAUGAUUGAGUACCAUCACAUCAUCCAACUAUACUGUUAUAUAAACAUCAUCGGUACAUCACAGUAUUGGGCAAUUGGCCUAUAUUGCUAUUACUUUGAAUGAAACACAUUUGUACUAUAUGACAGUAACUAAUUGGAAGAGUGCAGUAUGUUAAUGCACCUGCAUAUCCUUAAGAAUAAAAUAUCCAAUAAAAGUUGACAUUUGAAAGUACCCCUUGUGUUGUAAAGUAAUCAUUUUGAUACAGAAGGAACGUAAUAAUGAAGGCAAGCAUGUAAAAAACUGGGGAAAGUAUUGUUCGUAACAGGUUAUAUGCAGCCCUACCGUCUACAGGAACGCAUCAAAGCAAACUUCGGAAAUUGGUGCAUGUCAGGCAAGUCAGGAUUUAGUUGUUAUUUACAGAGGUGAUUUCUGUUCCCUUUAAUUUGUAGAAAUUUGGGGCAGGGAAGCAACGGAAUAUUUUUUUCAAAAGUAUUCUCAAGCUGAUUUGUAUGUGACGAGAUUAUUAAUCAGUUUGAUCGAGAUAUUUUUUGUAUUUGACGCAGUAUGUAUGUACCAAGCAGGAUUGCAAGUCAAUCUCACCUUAGGAUAUUAUUCAUACCUAUUAGCAAGUCUACAUGGAUCAUUUAAUGUUGCAAUUGUGUGCUGACCCGAAACCCUAGAAAUAGUUCAACCAUUUUCCUCAAAGGCGUAUUAUUACAUCUAAGGCAAAAUCAAUUGAUUAGUUUUACUAUUUCUAACGUUUCUAAGUAGUGUUGAACCAUCUCCACAGGAGCUUGACAAUUUAGUGCUACUAGCCAUGUUUCACAGUACUAACACAAGGGUUAAUGCAGAAGUCUUUUAUAUAAUUAUUGACCUUGAGGAACACAUAGCAUUUGUUGCGAGAUGGAACAAUAAGUGUAGCUUAUAGUGACAUCAAAGAUUGCAGCUGUAUUUCACAAUAUUUUGAUGCUCAGAAAAUCUUCUUGCUUUUGAUAGUUCUGUAAGACCGCACGAUACAGUGGUUCUCUUAGGUGUAUAUGAAAUUAGUUCAGUUAAAAUUAGGGGUCUAUGAUUUUUCACCACGUUUUCCAGCCAUUAGAUAUAAAUGUUUUAUUUAAGUCUAUUGAAAGUUACUAAUGACAUCUGGAAGUCUGCACCUCCCUCUUUUUUCAGACCUAAGUUGUUUCUCCGAAAGUCCAGCAUAAUACUCUGAAAAGAAGGUCAGGUUUUCUCCCUUUAGUCAAGUUACUCUGACCUGGUUUAAUUUUAAAAUAGUAGAUAUAUUCCUUCCUAAUUUAGUCAAGUUACCCUGCUAAUCUACCAGGCAGUUCCAUGUUUACACUUGUUGCGUAAAUAUUCUUCUCUUUAUUUGACCAGAUGUUCACUGAACUAUGGUCGGUCAUUGGUUAUUUGUUUGUUUGUGUGCAGUUUGCUUUUUUAAACCCAAUAUUUAAACAUGAAACUAAAAUAUUAAGUUUAUCUGAAUAACAUUUGGUCACUGAACUAUUCCUCGUUCACUAUAAUUUUGUCAAAGUUUUAUGUACCUGAUUUAGGUUUUAAAAAAAUGUUCAUAAAAUUAUCAUACAACUUGAGAGAAACCUAUCUUAGUUUUGGUUAUUACGAGGAGACAGAAAAGAGAUGACAUAGGCCUAUAGCUGAGAGGAGAGAGAAAUUAUGUGAUUUGGCACAGCAGACUAGCACAAAGGCCCCAGAAGGGGGUUGUAAAGUGAACGGUUCUCAGAGUUCACAUGGUUAAAUGAACCAAAUCAAAGUCCAAGAUUGUAAUCUGAACCCUAAAACGAUUUAAUGGGGUGAUAUGGACUUCUCGACUACUAGAGAAUGUGCCUUCAACUUGCAGGGUCAAUGGACAUGCACCUUUGAUUUAACAUUUGAGAUUUUAAAUGCUCUCUGAAUUAGGGCAAGCAAACAAACAUUCUCUUAAAAUUGUCGUUUAUGUGCUUGUUCUAUUAAUUUUCUUUUAGUGAUUCACAUUUGAGACUUUUUUUCUUAAAUUGAAGAAUUUAUAAGCUCUAAAUAUAAAGUAAUGUGUAUAAAUCACAGGGAAAUGAAUUGAAAAAUGUAGAACUACAUACUCCCUCCGUAAAGAAAUAUAAGACCAUUUAGAUCACUUCCUAAAAGGUACUCUCUCUGUAAAAAAAUAUAAGACCGUUUAGAUCAGUUUUCACUCCAAAAAGCUGGAAAAAAGAGCAAAUCUCGGAUAGCACAAAAGCCAAGGUGACCCAGAACAAUUAUUUCACUUAUUUCUAGUUUAAGAAGGACCUUGUGCGCGGUUCACGACUCCCGGUGCUUAGAGAUGCGGUUCACUACAGCAGCGGUAAGAAAAACAAGAAAACAGGUAUCAAGAGAUGGAAGUGAAAGAAGAACUGUUGAUCGACCGGUGGUUUGGGUCUUGCCUUUUAGGAUUCGGCUCCCUGGUAAUGAACUGAAAAAGAGACUGUCACCGCUGAGAACGAGACGACACAGGUUGUGGUUCUUCUCCGGCAUACGCUAGCUGCUGGAACCCACUGAGUUCAAGUCCGAAAAGGAUUGGACUCUGCGACAUUGACCGACGCGACGCUAUACCGGAAAGACUAAAGAAAGGUAUGUAGGAUAUGACACUUGAAUGGAUAUGGAUGGCGAAAGACUUAACUAUGAGUUUUGUAGAAGCAAUAAGUGUUGCACUGCAAGUAUUCAAUACCUGAACAAGGCAUACGAAGUAGGUUUUUUUUUUCACUUUGGCGAAAUGCAUCUCCAGACAUGACCAUCUCAUCAUUUACUUUCAGCGAUGAUUCGAUCACUAAAAUGACAUCGUCCCCGUCAUCAUUAUUCCGGUGGAUGGUGAAUCGAUCCAUGGCCUCAAAGCACCAUGGGUUUCUAGCAACAAUCACAAAGACCACACAAGAUAACAUCCCACUUUUAUUAAUUAUUAGGACGUUUGUAAAAGCAUUAAUUUGCAUCUUAUUAUUUAAAUGCGUAUUUGGAUUUUCUAGAACAUUUAAAUUUAAACUAUUUUCAACUCAAGGAAAUAAAAGAGAGAAGAUAAUAUUACUUAUAUUCCUUAUGAAAAGAGUGAGAAAAUGUUAAGAUGUCAUUUGGAGUGGAUAAAUCCAAUCUUUGGAAUUAAAUAAACCCUACAAAUAUUUAAGGGAAUUAUUAUUAGGUCCAAACUAGCUGUAUAAAAUAAAAUGAAUUUACAAAAUUGCACUUCGAGUUGGGAAUAAUUUUUCUAGGCUCUAUAUGAGUAUUUUGUUUUUUGCAAUUUUCUGGUAUUUUCUGAAAAAUAUAUAUUUUAGACUAUUAUUUGAGCCAAAAUCAAUUUGUAGACUAAUUUUAUUAUGAAAUCCUAUCCUAACUAGACCAGAACAAUGUUUCAGCCCAGUAACACACACCGCGACUAUUUUAGGCCCCCGGCCUAGUUCCUUUGUCAAAACGAUAUGGGCAUCGAGGGCCGUUAGUUUUAUGAUCAUCUCUUUCUCUCUUUUCUUGCCUCACUGCUCUGCAUCGUUUUGCCAUACUGUCUUUGCUCAUGGAGCACCACAUCGUCUGAACAAUGCACACCCGACCACACCAGAGCACCGCCGAGCACUCCACACCCGUCCAGACCACCGACCACCACCGACCACACCGCUGUGAUGACUGCGACAAGUUUAACCCUGACGUGUACUUCCUUGACACUGACGACCAUCGGAGACCAUGCCACAUUUGACCCGAGUCGUCGUGCCACUGUCUUCUCCGUGGCCGCCGCUGUUCACUGCCGCCCCAUCUCGUUCUCGUUCGUCUGUUUAGAAAUAGAUUGUGUAUUUUAGAAUUUAUUUCUUCCGAAUUGUUGUUUGAACUUGGCCCUAGAUCUGCAUUUAAAUCCAACGGUUGUUAUUCUGUUUGAGCCUGAAUCGGUGUCUUUUGAUUUGGUUUGUCCGUUUUCAUUUAAAUAGGACGACUAUAUUUUAUUUAGCCAUGAAUCGGUAUCAACUAGUCUGAUGCUGCCACGUGCCACACUAUUUUGCAGAAAAUCCCACGAAACUUCUAACGUUCUAACUUUUCAAGCGUAGCUCCAAAGAAGACGAACAUUUUGCAAAUUGUUAGUCUUGGAGUGCUUAUGACCUAUCAGUUUAACAUUUUUAAUUAUUCAAAUGUGAUCAAUUCAAAUUCAAAUUUAAAUAUUAUUUUAGCCAUAUCUUGCAAUCUGGAGAUCACCAAUAUGGUUGUUUCUUUUUGCAUGAUGAAAGCCUGAUCAAAUCCUAUGUACUAAGCCGUUAAUAGUACAUAUCAAAAUCAUUCCUAUGUCAUGUAUAUGAUGCAUCUUUUAUGCCUUUCGCUCUUAUAGUUGCACUUUUGCACUUAAGACCCUAUAUUAGCUAAGGCUAUAUAUACUAGUCCCUCCGAUCCAUAAUAAUUGACGCAACCUCUAUACAAUAUCUUACUUACAUUGUAUAGAGGUUGCGUCAAUUAAUUUGGAUCGAAGGGAAUAAUAUGUUUUGUUUGCUAUCUUUGCAAGUAAUUUUAUUUGUAUGCUUAAUUAUAAUUGUUUUUAAAUUUAUUUCAUUCUACGAUAGAUUGUUUGGGUGCGAAGCCGCUUACUUACAUGAGUAUUAUCACCAGCACCAAGGCAAGUCGCAUUCUUUUGUGCAUGUCCAUGUACCUAUAUCUUUACUAAGCAUUUAGUAUAUUUUGAGUAGUAUGUAUGAGCAUGUUUAUAUAUUCUAAAUAUGCAAGUAUGAUCCCACUAUAGUUCAGUAAGUAGGUCUGAGUUCUAGUUACUUGUCUGUCGUUGUUGUAGUUUGCUUAAAGUAGGCGGAUACUUUGGUGAAGUGUAAUUCGUGGGAAGUUAUGAAUGAUAAUGUAAUAAGGAAAACCAACUAAAUUCGUGGUACGUGGGUGGAAUAGUAAUUAUAAAGUGGUGAGGUACAAUGUCAGCAUCAUGGAGAAUGUGAUCUCUUAAAAGAUUCACCUAUGGCAUUGCACACUAGUGAACCGCCGCUAAGGCUUAAAAAGACCAACCAGUUUUCACGAAUACUUGCUUCCAUGUGCAACCACAAGCAAUUUUGAGCUUUGUCUUAGUUGAGUAGGUUGUGGUGAACCUUGCCUUGUAGGCUACCCUCUGGAAGUCUCCGUCUUGAUCUUCUACCAGUUCUCCCAUGUUGAACACGAACCUCACCGGAUCUUCGACCUUCCGGCGCCUGCCGUCGAGUCGAUGACACGGUCACGAAGAUAGCGCCAACCAACCAAGCACGGUGCGCGCAGGCCAGAUCGCUUGCGACGGUGGCAACAUCUGCUGCAUGGUCACCACACAUCCCAGCCGGCGUCGCGGGUGACGACUUCCUCUAGAGCACACCGGAUCUCCAGGUCAAAGGACAUGGCGGUGUUGCUCCCUUUCCUUUCCGCUGCCACAUGGGCGCUUGCUGCAACCCGACGGUGUGAAGGAUUAGGAAGGCGCGCAGCCGCCCGUGCCCUAGAACGAGCUGUUGCUGCUGCAUCAUAACCACAUGGACUGCAUCAAAGCCAUUGCCUAUACAUCGCUACACCUCGUCGAAUAGCAACAGGAACAGAGCCCCCUUGCCGCCAUCGGCCACACAAGCAAACCCGGCGGCGACGGCAGCAACGAUGGGAGGACGCUUGGGCAGAGGCUCGCCGAAAAAAUGGAUCUGCAGGCCGCUCGUGUCGCCCACGUGGGCGACGCGGGGCAGCUCAGUUGGUAUAUGUCGUCUUUUUACAUACUCUGUUCUUGUUGGAAAAGAAAAUCCACACCUAUAGAGGCAAAACGCAGCAAGCCGUUGGAUUUCUCGUCGUCCGAAGGUAGAACAACAAGUAUCGUACGUAUAGCGGUUUGGAUACACAGGCGUGACUACUACUCCGUAUACGUAGAAUGAGGUAAUGUACAUAAAUGCGAGAACAGUUACUCCCACCCCCCCACCCCUACAGCCUGCAGCUGAAUUUACAGCGACAACAGUACUUGCCUGUACGUGCUGCAACCUGCAAUGCCAUGUGGUAACUUCAAAGCUAGCUAGCGCUCUUUCUUUUCAGUUUUGAUAAUAAUUUGUUUUUCCUUCUUACUAUUGCUGAGCAGUGGUGUUUUAUUCAUCCUCUGCCUUGGUCUUAAUUUAUACUAGUGCAGUACUACUACCUCCGUCUCAUAAUAUAAACGAUUUUAUAUUAUGGGACCAAUGGAGUAGUUAAUUAACUGGGAAUUGUUAAUUGGGCUUCCAACUCGUGUCGUCUAAAGACAUCUCUUUCUUUUUCUCUUCAGUUUUUUCUACUCCAGUACCGUUCAAGAUAUCGGUGAUGGGACUUAAGAAAAACUUGUCUAGAUCGUCAAGUUUCAUUCCAAUCGACACUACUGAGCUUAGCAAUAUACUCCGACCAAAACACAACGUGAGUUUGCUGUUCCAACCAAAUGGUAGUCGAGCUCGUAAUUAACAAGUAGUAAACCAACAAAAGCUUAUACUACAAUAAUAUUCCAUUCAUUUCAUCAUCACUUACCACAGCACAAGCGACACGUACAUCUAGCAUUAUUCAUAUGCCUCAAGAACAUGCACCACUACUACAGAUAACCAAGAACUUAACACGAACGAGCGAUAGAGAUUGACCUAACGACGUAAUUAAGCGACAAACACAACAAACAAAUCGAGUUCUCCAAACGUACGUACGCGCGGCGUAUAGCGCCCACAGAACCAUGCAUGCAC
rnacentral:lncRNA from 1 species